UUCAAUAAUGUUAUUGGUCCCCCAUGUGCAGAAGGGCGCGCGCGUAUGGAAUAACAAGUAGGGACACUGCAACUAAUCUACUCUGCUCGUCCAGUCCCUAGCCUAUAAAUAGAUGCCAUGCUAGCUCUUGUUGUGCUCACAAUUAAUCCGAUUACACACGAGCUUCUCUCCCUGGCCAAGACACAACCAUAGUAUGAUGAAGAACAUGGCACUAGCCGGCAAUGGUAUGAAGAAGUUAAUCCUCGCUGUUCUCUUACUGUGUCUAGUUAUAGGGCAGAUACAAGUGGAAGCUAAGAGCUGCUGCCCAUCCACCACUGCAAGAAAUGUCUACAAUACCUGCCGUUUCACGGGUACAUCCCGUCCAACGUGUGCAAAACUGUCAGGCUGCAAAAUUAUCAGCGGGAACAAAUGCAAGCCCCCUAACGACCACCUCACCCUUGACCCGGACACUGGUAAAUAAUAAAUUUAUCUCACUUGAUUUCUUCGUGAUUUGAGUCGUUAAUGUAUUUUCCAUCUGAUGAAACGUAUUGGUUUUGCAUUGAAGAGGAAGUUAAUGUGCUUAACUUCUGCAAGUUGGGGUGUGCGUCGUCUGUGUGCAACAACAUCAACGCUGGUAAGCAACUUUUGCUCAGACAGAGAAAACAAUAAUCAUUAAUUAGCGGCAGCUAGAAUCCUAUAAUCUAAUAUAUAUAUAUAUAUAUAAUUUUAUCAGCUCUGGGAAAUGAAGAGGCGAACGAUGCCGUUGAGAGUUGCGACCAAGCCUGCUCUAGCUUCUGCAGCGUGCAUGUUGGCAGCGCCACCGUGGUUGCUUAAGCAAAUGCAUCCAACUAGAUCGUCCUUGUGCUGAAUAAUUGGAUAUCGUAUCCACUUAAAGCUGCCUUGUGUAGUACGUCUUUGUGUCUCUCUUUAUAUUCCAAUAAGGUCGGUGAUCUUGAUGCCACACACUCAGAUGUGUGUUCAUCUCCAGAUACUACUCCAUGCUACCUGCCCUUUGUGUUUUGUUCAAUAACUGGGUAUCAUAUCCCAGCCAGUAUGCCGUCUGUUUUGUGUUUGUUUCCUUCUAGUUCCAAAGGGGUCAUCAUGAUGUUACCUUCUUUCAAUAUGGUGCUUUGCAUGACUACUGUUGUAUGGUACCAUCUUGUGGCCAAUAAGUACAUCUUAUCCUAUGACCUUUGCUAUGACCCUUUGCAAAUAAGUAGAAGAUUGUUAUAAGCGUCAAUACUCCGUAUAAAUUGAUCGCUGCUGUGAGUUCCCUUUCAGCUUAUCGUAGGCAUACAUUAUUGCUAGCACGGUAAAGCCAACCAACACGAAUGAUGAAGUAAACGUAGCGGUACUUCUGUAUACCAACACCCUUACUUAAAUGUACCGGUGUCAUUCCCUACUGGCACAUAUAUUCUUAUAUGCUAGCCAGCUUGUAAAAUUAACCAAUUAAAAUAAUUAUUUCAAGAUAGAAAUAACUUAUCGGUUUCUGGAAGCAUGUGUAAUGUGAAUUCAAGGACUCGACGGAAGUUGAAUCACUUCAUCUAUAUUGCUUUCAGUAUUUUGGGUAACUAAAUUUAACAUUUGCACAUACAAAUGUUAAAGUACAAAUGUUAAAUCUAGUUACCCAAGCAGAAUAUGAAGAUAGUUUAUAGUAUAUAUAUACUAUAUAAAUCUAGUUAACAUUUAGUCUAAAUGUUAAAUCUAGUUACCUAAAAUCCUGAAAGCAAAAUGUAUAAAUAUAUAUCUUUUAAGGCAGUAUAAGCUUCGAUUCCUAUUGCUGCUCUGUUAAAUCUCAUCUUUCGUUGUGGCCCAACACUCUAGUAUGCAUGUUGCACCAAGCUUCUUUGAGCCGCUCUGCCCUCUGAUUUUGCUGCGUAGGGGAAUCUUUAUCAGGUUGGGCUACUUCCAGUUGUGCGAUGUAAAGAUUCGUAUUUUCUAGAAGGUAGACAAAAAACUCGCGUUCUCUUAAGGCAACAACCGGAAGAUUCUGCAGCGCACAGGGCAUACCAUUAUUGUAGAAACGACCUUUAGUACCGAUCUCCAACCCCCUUUAAAACUGGUUUUGCAACCGGUACCGUUAUGUCGGUCCUUUAGUACCAGAUCAAAUAAGUACCGGUUGGUAACCAGUAUCAACUUGUUUUGCGGCCAAAAAAAUAAAGAAAAAAACAGUCAGAAGGCUCGCGCACACGCGCAUCACAUGAAAUAUGCGUGUGCGGGGUCCAUGGGAUUCGAACCCAUGAAAUCAAGCUGCGCGCGACCCUUCGUUACCAUCUCACCUACAUAGCGCAUAUGCUUUCCUGAAGUAACCCGUGGAGGAGGCUUUAGUACCGGGUCAUAACACCACCCGGUACUAAAAAUGACUCUUCAGUACCGGGUCAUAACACCACCCGAUACUAGUAUCGGAUGGUGUAAUGACCCGAUACUAAAAGGCCUCUAGGGACCCUCAAAUUUGAACCCGGUACUAAUGCUAAUAUUAGUAGCGGGUCAAAGUGCAGCCAGAACUAAAGCAUGGGAUGAAAGGUCAUAUUUCUAGUAGUGUAUAGUUGUUGUGAAGGACUGACUUGGCUGUCCUCUCUCUUCUCCAUCCCCUUGGUCUUACGCCGCCGCUCGCACGCGAGCCGGUGCCCAACCAGAGGAGUGAGAGCUAGGGGCAGGUUGGGAGGUGGGGAUAGUGACUGGUGGCCAGGGUGAUGGUUGAUCCUGGUGGGGUUAGGGUUUUAGGGUUUUCGAGCUUCCUAUGGUCGGCGAACCUAGAGGAGGAGCUCAACAUCAGCUGCAACCCGCGAUGGUGGUGGUUUGGCCGGCGCCCGAGGCGAGGCAGCGCGGGAGUGCUGCCGGUGGGUUGGUGUUGGCACUCAUUAUUGACAACUAUUUUGUUCAUAAAAUAACACUCAAACUUGCUGCUGCUGCUGCUGCUGCCAUCGCCACCCUAGCCAUAAUAUAAAGGCAAAAUUUGCUAAAGGACAUGCAAAAUGAUGCUAGUUUGCUGGCGGGCAUCGUUGACCUUGUAAUAUGCUACAAGACACUCUAGUUGUGUAUCAAUUUGCUGAAAGACAUUGCUAUGACUAAAAUAAUGUUUCUGGACUGAGUUGGAGAGAGAGAUGGAGUGAAAUGUCUGUUUUGCCCAUGACCCCACUGGUCAGAUCCUUCUUCUUCCACCCUCCUUUGUUCUUUCUUCAACCAUUACCCAGCUCCAGCGUGUUGCAGAUCUACGAGGGUGGCGGCCUGGGGCGAGGGGCAUCGCUCGCCCUUGGAGGAGCGCUGCGAGCGACGGCGCGGGGGCGGCAACAGCGCGUCAGAACCUGACUGUUCGUUAGCUCCUCUCGCUGCUGGGGAAGGAGGGGGAUGGGCCAUGGACGGGGUUCCCUUGAAAACCUCAGCGUCGAGCUCGGGCGGCUACGCGCAGGCAGCACUAGGCUGCUUCACGGGGAGGGGGCGCGGCCAAUCAUUGGCACCCCACUGGUCCAAUGCUGAUGAAGAUGGUGCCAGCGUCGUGUGAGGACAUCUCAUCUCCUCGAGUUCCAUGGCCAGCACAGGUGAGCUGCCGCUACCACAAAACAGAGGUUUCGUGAGAGUCAAAAAACCUUAUGAAAAUAGCUAAAACCAUCAUGAAAAUAAUCCGUGACAUGACACUCUCACGAAAAUCCUCUCACAAAUAUGGUGCCAUGAAAAUACCAUUUUCAUGAGAGUGAACUGUCAUGAUUUUAUUUCGUGAGAGUAUUUCCUAUCAAUGACCUCCACGAAAUACUUUGUGCCACCAGGUCUUCAAGAUCAUUUUCAUGAGAGCUGAACAUCAGGAAAAGUCCGCCACAAAUGUUUUUCUUGGAGCCCCUAACUCUCAUGAAAAUCAUGCGGGCCGCCACGAAAAACAGCAUGACCAAAUGACAAAUUUCAUUUUCAUGUGUUCAUACCGCCAUGAAAAUGGUCAUUUUCAUGAGAGUUGAUGAAACAAAAAAUAGUGCCAUUUUCAUGAGAGUUCAAGCAACCAGGAAAAGACACUAAUAAACAUCCAGAUCCCAUCCAGCACACAUCCAUGCACAUAUAUAACCCACAUAUUGCUCCAGCACACAUCCAUGCAUAUACAAGAUCCAAAUGUUAAUAUAGUAGACAUCCAUGCCUGAACUAGUCUGCCACACAAGUCAUUGAUGCUACAAAUCCUACAAUCGCAGCAUGUGCAUACAAGUCACAGAAUGAGACAAUGUACCCAAAACUAAAAGGUUAGCAUCAACUGUGCUUCAACCAAAGUUGUCAUCCCAACUCUCCUCUUCAUCCAUGCCAUUCUUGUCGUGGCCGUCACUGUCAGUCCCCAUGGCAUUGCCAAUGCUGUGCAUGUCUUGGUAGGAACCUACAUGUGAUGAACUAGUAACCUGCAAAAAGAGCUCAAAGGAUCUUGUUCUCAUAUUGUAGCUGUGAAAUUCUUACAAGUAGUGUUGCAAUCAGUUCACUUUGAACCAAAAGAGCUCAAAGGAUCUUGUCCUAAAAGUUCCUCAUAAAGCUUAUGGGUUUGCUGGUGGAACUGGAAGGGCUUGAUGCAGCAGAUGCCAUUCUGCAAUAGAGAAAAAUUUAGAGAGCAGUACUAGUUAAAAUUGGAUGCAGAAGAUACACAUGAAACUAGUAUUUAUACAAGUCUAUACAAUUAAAAUCUAAGGAGACUUAUCAUCGUUUUCAUGUGUUGUGAAUUAAAAUAAUGAAGGAUACACUGUUAGGUGAAAAUUCAAGAAACAAAAUUUUGCAUAGAGAUAAAGGUCCAACAUUAUUACAAGUUAAGGUAGUUUUAAAUAUCCUUGUAAUCUUCCUUUGGUUUCCUCAACGAUUCGAAGACAAUAACCUUGCUUCUAUCAAUGAUAAUUAUAAGGAGAAUCCAGUGGAAACUGUGUAUUCGUAUUAGAACUACCUAAGGUUAAUUAGGUUAGGAAAGGAAAUUGAAAAUAGAUGGUACCCACACUUACUUAAAGUUGUCGGGCAAUAGUAUGUAAUGCUUGUAAUUCCGUUGCUCCAAGAAUUUGUAUAUGUGGUCCAAUGUAGACUUUGGUUGAUCCCGUAUCUGCUGUUGGUUAAAUAAGUGUUUCUAGCCAUUUCUAGCCAUUAGAACCGGGACUAAAGGGGGCUCUUUAGUACGGGUUGAUAUUACUAACCGGGAUUAAAGAGCCCCCAUUAGAGUUGGUUUUUGGAUGCGGAACUAACAACUCCUUUAGUCCUGAGUACGAAAACAACUGACAUAUUUGUUGCUGGAUGGAAGGUCCUUUCUCUACCGUGAAUAUUGCCAGAAAGAAUUGAAAGAGACUGCUUGCUAAAAAUAUGUCAUAGAUGUAGACCAAGCUACCAAGGAGGUAGACCAAACAUGAUACACACCAUGCGUACCUUGCUGUGCAGACUAUGCAUUGACAAGAUACCCGACCACAUGUUGGCCUCGGUCACAUCAAAAGAAUCAUGUAGGCCACCAAUAAACUACUUGAAGCGGCAUUCCGUAUCGUAUAUGCAUUGCCGGUUCAUCUGCAUUACAUUACAUAAAGCACUAUUAACUAUUUGAAUAAAAUGAACCAAUUUAAAAGUAAUGUGUUGUACUCUACUAUAGAAAGCCCUAUCACUGCCGGAUCCAAAAACAUCAUUGUUAAUGGUGGUUAAGUACCAAAUAUGACGGUCAAUAUUCUCAAGAAUAAUGGAGAAUUAGCAUUUCUUAGACACAUAUUUGGUUUUGAACAAUGUAGUUCCACAUGUCUUUGGAGAUUAUUUGGGUGUGGGUGAAAUAAUACAAAAAUAAGGAGAAAACACACUCCCAUGGCGAAGAAACACAACUCCAACCAAUGAGAGAUAGCCACAGGGGCAGCACACGGAUCCAUGGGCCCACUAACCGCAUCAAACCAUCUUACCAAGGCAGGUAGCACCCACAACCGUCAUUAGGACCCACCUGGAAGUCUACCAAGAAGAAGGUUGCGAGUGGGGCCAGGAGGGGUUCGGUUGAAUCAUCUCUAGCUAGCUCCCCUCAUCCCCAGCUGGUGGGUGGUGGUGGUUGAUGGUGUCCCUACAUCAGUUAGAGGAGAUUCCCCCAAAUAUUCCUCCUGUAAACCACCUCUAUGGACCUAUACAUAGAGGGGUGUGCUCUCCAUUCCAACACACACCACAAGUUGAAUCACUCUCUCCCUCUUUAGUUUCCAAGUUUAUGGAGUUAGGCUAGAGUAGCUCUGCUCAAGGUUCCAAGUCCACUUGGAGUUAAGCAUAUGUCUCUUGUAUCGUUAUUUCCUAAAUUGACUUUAUGCUUAGUUCUUAUAUGCAUGAGUUAGUCUAAUACCCUUGCUAUAUUGAUAUGCUCGGCUUAUAUGCUCGUAUGCUAGUCAUAUACCCUUGCUGUCGUAGUAUAGGCUUAUAUGCUCUCAUGUGUGCCUGUAGACCUUGCUAUAGUAUAUACUUGUUGUGCAUACAUACCAUGUAUAGGCUAGUCGAUCUAUACCAUGGCAUUGGUUCAAUAGCCAUGUUUUUGGUGGCUCCAACCCUAGUCACAAUAGCUCGGGACAGCUGGAGUGUUGUUAAAAAUGCAAGAGUGGUGCUUGGGUUGUUUAGCAUCGUUGGAUAUGGGUUUGCCCCACGGGUUUCUAACGGUAGGCGGCAGCUAGUGACAUCCCUGUCCGUCCUUCGUAAUCCCCCCACAUUCAGGUACGCCAUAAAUGUUCGUAAAUUAGCAGUAACUACGCCGGUACACCUGUAGGGUAUUGUCUCCCUGUAGUACCUUGGUGCAUAGAACUAAGUCCUAUACACUGUGUGUGUAUGUUUACGCUGAUAUGAUCUGUGCAGUAUAUAGGAUGUAUAUAUGAACCUAGAGCUAACUCCUAGUCCGUUCUCCAUAGCUUAGUUAUCUUGAGAUGAUUCUUCUGUAUGUGUAACACUACCCAUCUUAUCAUUAUCCUUGAUCCUGUCUUGUGUAAUAUAUCUACUCAUCCUAUGAUAUACUCAUAUGCAUAGUAAACUAUUUUGACCUACCCGCCUUCCUUUGGGAAAUAUGAUACCUUGGAAUAAUCCUAGGUGAAAUCCUACAACGGUAUAUCCAUGUAAAUGCGGAUUUAUUCAUGACCAUUAAAUAUACCAACAAUCAUCACUGUGAGUUUUGGGCGUCGUUAGUGAAGGGUUGGUAGUGAUGGGCAUCCCCUUCACCAAUGGACCUGGAACCGGCGGUGAUGGCUAUUAUAAAAAAGGGGACACCACCCAGCGUACCCCACGACCCGGCCGGCCGCACCUCCCAUCAUCCCCGCCAGCCGCCCUUCCUUUUCGCCGGCCGAGCAUGGUCCCGGCCUUUGUCCCUACCACCUCGCCUCCACCGCGACCCCCCGCCGAUGCCCUCGUGCCUGGCCCCCCUCAUCUUGCCGGCCACCCUCCCGAUGCGUCCACUGGGGCCCUCGCACCACCAACCGCCCUUGCUUAGAGAGGGAGAGAGAGGAGGGAGGUGAGGCCACGCACCUCGUCCUACACCGCCGCUGUUUCUCCUCGGCCCACCGCGCCUCACCCCACACCACAGCCGCGCCUUGCCAUCUUACCGGCUGUGACGCCUCAUCUCACCGGCCACCGUUCCUCACCCCCACUUCGGUCGUCGCCGCUCCUUGCCCUACCGCUGCUCUUUGCCGCUGCGAAUGAGCGCCGAGUGGAGGAGGAGGGAUGGGGCAGGAGGAGGGCAAGAUCCGGGAGGAAGGGAGAGAUCUCGGGAGGUGGAGAUGGAAGGAUAUGGCGGAAGGGAGAGAUCCAGAGGGAGAGAGCAGGGGAGAGAGGGGGGCGUGUGGGGAGAGAGCGCGUGUGGGGUGGGGCCGGGCUGGUGGGAUGGAAGGGAGAGGGGCUAGACGGGCGCAGUGCAUUCAACUGGAUGAAGUAAAUAUUUUGGAUUCGAGACCCCAGCUUUAUUAUCACCGCUGGUCCGUAGUACCAUCCGGUGCCUGCUCGUAAUUUAAUUUGAAUCUGCGGUGAUGUUUUAUUAUCACCAUCGGAUCAUAUAAAAAUCCGGCGGUUAAAAAUCCGCUGGUUUCGAUGAAAACCGACGGUGAUAGGAUGACUGUGAUAGUCUCUUCUCUAGUAGUGGUAUAUUAGUACCGGCUGCCGGAUGGUGUUGCCGACCAGUACUUCUCCGGGGGCGAUUCAGUACUGCUGUUAGCAAAGCUUGUUCUCUAUGAAUUUGGGGAUGGAAAGCUAGUUCUCUAGUUGUGAUUUGUUACAUAUAUAUCUAUGAUAGUCUAGAAAUUGCAUGUCCUUCGUUGACAUAGUUGAAGCUGCUUCAAGAAUUUACUUCGUGCAGUCGUGCAGCAUAUUGGAUUAUCACCUAGACAGGAUACAUAGGUGAAGCAUUGGAUGUGAUUGUGGCCGAUAAUUAUGCAGGACGCUGUUGCAAUCAACCACCAAGAAGUCUGGAGUGAUGGGGUUGCCUCAUCAAUAAUUUUUAUAUAUGGCUGCAGUAUUAUUAAGCCCACGUCAAUAAUUUUUUGUCCGCACCAUAUAUCGAUGGGGUUGCCUCAUCAAUAAUUCGCGCAACCAGACAAGCUGCAGACUCAAUAUGGUACGAAGCUAGUUGCUCAGCCCACAUGCUCUGAUAUAACAUUGACAUCUGCUGAUCUACAGUAUAUAUGACCAGAAAUAUUGUGCCCACCUCAAUAACUUUCUGAAGUAUCGUGGGGAAGAACCUACGCGUACUAUGCCUCGGAACUAACUGACAUAUCGGCCCAGGCGGUCUAGGCCGAUUGGACUGGCUCUUCCUUGUGGCUUCUCACAUCCCCUUCGUCCCCAAGUAAUUUCAGGUGUUCUGUAGUUUUCUUUUCACUUGCAUCUGAGCCUCCUAUAUCAAUAGCUUCGGGAUAAGAAUGCCUCUUGAUAACCUUCCAAAUCCUCGCUUGAUUCACAUUGAUUCCGAAAUCAUCUUGCCAUAUCUUCAGAGACUUAGGUCCUAAGGCAUCAUGGAGGAUUGCUCGCCAAGAAUGAGCACCAUUGGGCUCCUGAGGACCCUAGGCCGAUCAGCCCGGGCUCUAUAGGUCGAUUGGCCCAGGCCCUCUCUGGGCCUGUUGGCCUUCAUCUUUCUUUGAGUCGACGCUUAUUCAGGGCUUUGUCCAAUUAUAGUCCAUUAUAGUCUAAUUUCCUAAAAAACAGAAUGUCCUCCAAAAUACAAUGCAUAUGUGAAAACAACCCAAUUAUUAGGUAUGAUCAAUAGUUUAGGUAUUAAAUUAAUAUUAUUAUUUAAGAUAAACAGGGGUAAAGGGUGUCAUUAAUAACAAGCGCCAACAAGCGUCCUAGCUGUUCAAUAAAUUUUUUCUAGUACCGAUUGGUAACACUAACCGGUGCUAAUAUGUACCCUUUAUUACCGGUUAUUUUACCAGGUACUAAAGGAGACAAGAGCAUCCUAACAUAAGGUUAAUAUCAUCCAUUUCAUGAGUAAAAUACUAUGAUUCAAAAAUAAUUCAAAUCCCUUAAGACAAUACCUAUCAAAUGAGUAAAUUGUAAAUAGAGUAAUCUUGAUCAAACAAUGUCCUAAUGAAACGGAACACUUCUGGUUCGUGUAGAGCACAAUAUAGAAAACAGUAGGGUAGCUGUAUGAUUGACACGUGGUCCAUUAAUUAUUGAGCCAACACUAUGGACAUGUCUUCAUGAGUAGUGUACUAGUCAUAAUACAUGGUAUGCAGUAGGUGGAGGUAUUGACUUAGCCAUGCUAUGAGCACUUAGUUACAACAAACACUUUGCCAUUAUCGAGCAUCCCAAAUCACUACAAAAUCCAUAGUUUACCAUAUACUACAAAAUCUGAGUUAAAAUAAGAGCAUACACGGAAGAGUCCGAAUGCACGGCACAUUGAAUUACUAGACAAAAUUUAUGGGACAAGGUUUUGGGUAACCGCAUGAAAAAUAUUGGAUUUUACUGAACACUUAGUUACAAUUACCAUGCCCGUGAGCACUUAGUCACCACAAACAUUUAACCACUUUAGAUCAUCCUGAAUCCCUAUAAAUUCUAUACCUUACACCGUACCAUGAAAACGACAAGAACAGAGACAGAUGCGGUGAAAAUCUCCAGAGCAAGCCUGAAAUUAAAAUAAGAGGAGGCAGUCACUAUCGACAGGACACGGAGAUUGCUAGCCAUGACAGAGGAAGACAUGAUAUGAUAUUCACCUCUGAAAUGCAGCGUAGACUAAAUGAAGCACAAUUGCAAGUGAGUGUGGCAGAUAAUGGACCAUCGAGACCAUCGAAUGGUAUGAAGCAUGAUUAUCACCUAGACAUGAUAUCCUAGACAGGACGGUGAAUUGUAAAAAGAGUAAUCUUGAUCAAAGAAUGUCCUAAUGAAACGGAACAUUUUUGGUACGUGUAGAGCAAAAUAUAGAAAACAGUAGAGUAGUUGUACGAUUGAAACUGCAUCCAUCGACGUGGUGCAUGAAUUGUUGAGCCAACACUGUGGACAUGUCUUCAUGAACACCAUCUAGUGAGGACAGCAUGCAGAAAAAUAUAAAAACAUGUCAUAGGGAGGCAGACCAAUCUUGCGAGGUAGACGAAACGUGAUACACGAUCUGCCUACCUUGUCGUGUGGAUACCCCAAGUGAAGAUGUCAUAGAGGUGCAGACCAAGCUAGCAAGGAGGUAGAUGAAACGUGAUACACGGCCUGCCUACCUUGCCGUGGAUAUUAGUCCUGAUAUCAUUCUAUUGUUCAAGGAAUAACACUCAAUGCUGCUGCUGCUGCUGACCUGGCUCCAUAAAGUUAUAUUCCUCUAGCCGCUUGCACUAACUUUAUCUGAAGUAUUAUUCUCUCUGCACUGUAUAUAUGGUUACGGAGUUUGCUGGAGUAUCCGGGGGGAAGAACCUACAUAAUAUGUCUUGGAACUAACUGACAUUGAUUCACAGACAAGGUGCUGUUGUUGACAUGGUACAGUAAAUAAUAUAGUUUACCAUAUACCGUAUACCAUUAUAUGUUAGCUAAAAUAAGAGCAUAACAUGUCGCAGGAGUCCAAAAGCACCGGUUGAGGACCAGGUACAUUAAAUUACUAGAAAACAAAAGGGGACAAGGUUUAGGUAGCCACAUGAAAAACAUUUGAAUUUACUGUACCAUGAACACUUAGUUACCAUGCCGGGAGCACCUAGUUAACACUAACAUUUAGCCACUUUAGAUCAUCCCGAAACACCAAUGACCCUCAAUAGCGACAAAUUUUGGUUUAAAUGCCGUCACCAAUGAUCCUCAAUAGUGACGUGUUUAGGUUUAAAUCCCAUCACUAAUAACCCUUGGUAGUGACGUGUUUUGGUUUAAAUCUCAUCACCACUGAUCCUCACUAGUGACGUGUUUUUAGCAACACACGUUAUGAAUGACUUGUCAUUGGUGACAUGUUAAACGCGUUAUCUCAAUGGCAAAUCAAUGGUGACGUGUUUAAAAAAACAUGUCACUGUGAGAGUUAUUGGUGAAGGGUAAUUAAAAUGCAUCACUAAUUUUGUAGCAUUAGUUAUGAUAUAAUUUUGUAACGCAAAAAUCUACCAUAGUAAUGAGGUUUAGAGCCAUCACUAAUGUGGGUUUCUUAUCGUAGUGAUGCAAGCUCUACAAGGUGCUGUUGUUGCCAUUUUAAAGCAUCCCAAAUGACUACAAGAGUCCGGUUGAGGACUAAACAAAUUGAAUUACUAGAACCAAAUGUAUGUCCAGAACAAAGAAAGGGGUCAAGGUUUGGGUAACCGCAUUAAAAACAUUGAAUUUUACUGUACCAUGAACACUUAGUUACCAUUACCAUGCCUUGAGCACCUAGUUACCACAAACAUUAAUUUAGCCACUUUAGAGGUUCCACAAUCACUAUAAAUAAUAUACCAACACCGUACCAUGAAAACAUCAAGAAGAGAGACGGGUACAUGGACCACCAUCAAGUGAGUAGUGACAGCACGCACAAGAAUACCCGGAACCUUUUAGCUUGUCUGUAGUGAUCUGUUUUCUUCGCCACAAAUAAUGAAAGAGGCUGACCAAGCUAGCAACGAGGUAGAGCAAACGUGAUACACGUAGGUUUCAUUCAAGACAUCCAUGUAAGAUUCAUUCAAAACAUUCAUGGAAAUUUCUUGUAAGUUUUCAUGUAAAUUUCAUUCAAGACAUUUGUUAGAGGUGUUGUAUAUACACUUAACGUACAUAUAUCUAUGAUUUCAUGGUUGUUAGUGAUGGCAGAUGAGGAGCAUGCAAGGUGUUUAAUGGAGCAGAUUAUUGCUAGUGGUAGUGGCUCCAACCUGCCCGUAACGUACACCGACGAAGAGGGCAGCCAGGCGGACAUGUUCCUCAACAUGUCCGGUGAUGGCAAUGAAGAGCCCGAGCAAAACCUUGCCGUGACGGAAGGUUCCAUCGAGGUAUAUAUCAUUUCCAUUAUUUUACCCCAUCUAUAAUUUCAUAUUCAUUAUUACUAUGUGCUAAUUAAUGAAUCUUGAACCGUUAGUCCUCUAGAUCAACGAACCGAAAUAAGCCCCGAGGUCUUACAAAGAUAAUGCAGGGAAGGCUUCACAUCAUGGAAGUCACAGAAGAGGGCACAUCGGUUGCUCCCGAACAUGUGGCAAGAAAGUACGUGAGUCAAACCGGGGCAAUCGUAAGGGACAACAUGCCCAUCAGCAUCAGGGAAUGAAAGAGCAAUAGAAAUGAUCUAUACGCACCCCCGGAUACACAAAAGGAUAUGUUGUGGGCAAAUAUCAAGAAACACUUCACAUUUCCCAAAGGAUAUGUUGAAAAAUAUGUGAAAGCGUGGAUGUUGAAGAAGAUGGCCACCCAAUUCCAGACAUUCAAGAAGAUGUUGGAUGCCAACUUCAUCAAGAAGGGUCGAACUCCGGGUUUCAAUGAGUGGCCAAAGUUAAGGGACCACUGGGAGUCGUUUGUCGAAUACAAGACGAGCGAAGGUGGUGCGAGUAAGGUUCACAUCAAUGUUGCCAAUGCUAGCAAGGAGUACCAUCAUCAUCUAGGGCGACGUGGUUACAGCUCUGCAAUUCCCAGAUGGCGCAAGAUGGAACAAGACCUGAUCGAUCGGGGUAUCGUACCAGCAACUCUUGACUGGAUCGAUUGAAAAAUUGGUAUUAUGCUCAUGAAGGCAAUCUGAGCCAAGAGGAUCCGACAUUGGUCUUCAAUAAAACAAUACGUCAGAAGGUCGGAAGGCUUAUUAGGAACAUUGAAGAUGCUAAAGCUGGGAGGUUCAAGGUGGAUAGAGAGAAUGAUGAACUCACAUUGGCCCUCGGGACUGUCAUCUCUAGCACUUCCAGCUCCAGGACUAUCGUCACCACCGGGACCGUCGCUUCCUGCUCGAUCACAGUCUCCAUCUCCAGCACAUCCUGGUGGUGCGAGCGACGACGACAACAACACCCCUCCCUGCCCACCAUUGCCGGGACUAAGACCCGCAUUGAGUAAGGAACCUGCAACACCACUGAAGAAGUCGCGACCACCACCUUCAAGGCAAGUCAGCAAAAGAAGAAAGCAGAGAAGCCUAAACCCACUGAGAAGCCAGCGACUGAUAUGACCGAUGCGGAAAGAUGGAAGGCACUCAAAGAAGAAUGCAGGGAGUGGUUCAGCGAAGGCGAAGGUGAGAAAGUCGUAUGAAUCGAAUUCAAGGAUAUAUAUGAAGUGAACCAUCAGGAUGCCCUUGAUGUCUCUCUCAUCAGCGCCUAGGUUCUGUAAGUGUAUGUUUAUCUAUAAGUAAAUUUUGGCUCAUAUCAUUAUUUUUUUUGCGUGCGUCACCCUACUAACUUCGUCUUCCAUUUUAUGUAGGAUGCUAAUUCAGACGUGCCGCAUAGAAGCGUACUUCCAUGUUGGAUUCAUGGAUCCAUCCCUAGUUAACCAAAAGCCGAUACGGAAGUAGCUAGAGAAAACGUUGGAGGUGGUGUACAACCUCCUGGACAAACUAAACUACAGAAUAGGGGCAAUAUGUGAGGGUCUUGUAGGAUUCCUAGUGGACGAGGUGAUAAAUCCAUAAGGAGAAUAUCAUUCCAACGGACGAGCAUUAGACACACUGAGCAACACCUAGAUGGGAGGAUCCUAGGAAUGACCUCGACAGAUUUUGGUAUAAAUAGUAAUUGUGUAAAUACUAGUUUGAUUUGUAUAGGAAUAUACUAAGAAUUGUAUAUAUAGUAAUUGUACAAAUACUAGUUUGAUUUGUAUGAAUACUAGAUUGAUUUUAUUAUAAAAAAGUUUUAAGUCGUACGUGCAUGCGCCUACAAAGGCGCGGAUGCCUUUUAAUCCCAGUCGGAAAAACAAACUGGUACUAAAGGGGCUCGUGCCGCACCUGGCAUGACCACCCCUUUAGUCCCGGUUGAACGACCCAGGACUAAAGAUCUCCGCGUCUCAAAAAUUUUAUCUCGGAUGCUUUUUAGAGAGAUUUGAGGCCUAUCAACCAAGACUAAUAUCGAGUUUUCUACCAGUGAAACUAACUAACGUUCACAUGGUUUUGACAUUCACCUGCCAUUUGGUGUAGACAAGGGCACCCUAACAUAUGGUUAAUAUUAUUCUUGAAAGAAAAUCCUUUGAUUCAAAAUACUUCAAACCUAAUAAUACAAUACUUCUCACAUCUGAAAAAUAUGAGACGGCCCGACAGUAUUCUAAUCGACGCAAUAAUAUUUUGAGGGCAGCACUACUACAGCGACCCUCAUUCGUGCCGGUGCUGGGACUCCUAUCACGACCCUGAUACAAAUGAGGGUACAUUAUUGGUGCCAGUGCUAGAACAGCCACGAAUAACUUGCUAAACGUGCUGUUACACUCACUACAGGGACCAAGAAGGUAGAUAAAUUACACGACAUAGCCUUGGUUGCCGUGGAAGCGCCAAGAAGGGAGACAAAUUACAGGGACCACACCAUCAAGUAGAUAGUGACAAUAUGCAAAAGAAUACCCGCGCCUGUUAGCAUGUGAACUGACCACACCACGAAACGUGAUACACGGCAAGCGUACCAAGGCCUUGCUGUGCAGACUAUGCAUGGACAACACAUGGUACCUGACCGCUUUUGGCCUCAGACACAUCGAAAAACUGCAUCGUUCCACGUUGUACAUCCAUUGCUAGUUUAUCUAUAUUACAUAAUAUAUUAUUAGCUAUUUGAAUAGAAUGAACCAAUUAAAAAAUUGCGUUGUAUUUUUAGUACCGGCUGCAGGAUGGUGUUACCAACCAGUACUAAUUGGCCUGUAGGAGUGAUGGUUAUUAGACUUGGUACUGUUGUUAGCAUCAUUAACCUAAUUGUGCGCCGUAUGAAUUUGGGGAUGCAAAGCUAGCUCUCUAUGAAUGUGAGGGAUGGAAAGCUAGUUCUCUAGUAGUAAUUAUAUAUAUGACAGUCAAGAAAUCGAACACUAUGCUGCUACGAGUCACCAUCAUUUCCUUCAUUGACAAUCUGACAUAGGUGAAGCUGCUUCAAUAAUUUCCUUCGCGCAGUCGUGGAGCUUAUUGGAUUAUCACCAGGACGGGACACGGAAAUGGCCAGCAAUGAAGCUGAUUGCCGUCUGAGGAAGACUACAUACUUACCUAUGAAAUGAAGCGAUUGCAUAGACUAAUGAAGCAUUGCAUAUUUGCAUGUGAGUGUGGCAGAUAAUUCUGCAGGACAUGAUUGCAAUCCACGCACCAUCGAGAAGACUGGGGCGAUGGGGUUGCCUCAUCAAUAAUCACGUGGAUGCAUGCAUGCAUGUUCCCGCAACCGGACAAGGGUCUGAUAUAUGGCUAUAGUAUUACUGAGCCCACAUCAAUAAUUUCCACUGGUGUAUCGUGUGGGAAGAAUCAACAUACUACACCUCGAGUUCUUGGAACUAACUGACGUUCACAUGCAACCUCCACAAGGUGCUGUAUGCUUUUGACAUUCACCUGCCAGUUCGUGUAGAGAAGGACACCCUAACGUAUAGUUAAUAUUAUCCAUUUCAUGAGUAAAAUACUGUGAUUCAAAAAUACUUCAAAUCCCUUGAGACAAUACUUCUCACUUGACUAACCACUAACCAACCCCGAAACCCUAACUCAACUCCGAACCCUAACCCCUAACGGCAUAACCACUCCGUUUUGCCGGCGAGAUGGAGGAACUGGCUGGAAGGUAGAGAGGGCAGCGGUCCAGGGUUGAAAACGACGGGCGAGCGCAGUAACAUGUGGAGGAGGAAGUGCCACGUAUUCGUUCACCGCUAUUGGGCAGCGACACACGACACGCCCAAUAAGAUCUUCGCACGGUAGAAGGACGUCAUGUAUUCAAUAAUGUUAUUGGUCCCCCAUGUGCAGAAGGGCGCGCGCGUAUGGAAUAACAAGUAGGGACACUGCAACUAAUCUACUCUGCUCGUCCAGUCCCUAGCCUAUAAAUAGAUGCCAUGCUAGCUCUUGUUGUGCUCACAAUUAAUCCGAUUACACACGAGCUUCUCUCCCUGGCCAAGACACAACCAUAGUAUGAUGAAGAACAUGGCACUAGCCGGCAAUGGUAUGAAGAAGUUAAUCCUCGCUGUUCUCUUACUGUGUCUAGUUAUAGGGCAGAUACAAGUGGAAGCUAAGAGCUGCUGCCCAUCCACCACUGCAAGAAAUGUCUACAAUACCUGCCGUUUCACGGGUACAUCCCGUCCAACGUGUGCAAAACUGUCAGGCUGCAAAAUUAUCAGCGGGAACAAAUGCAAGCCCCCUAACGACCACCUCACCCUUGACCCGGACACUGGUAAAUAAUAAAUUUAUCUCACUUGAUUUCUUCGUGAUUUGAGUCGUUAAUGUAUUUUCCAUCUGAUGAAACGUAUUGGUUUUGCAUUGAAGAGGAAGUUAAUGUGCUUAACUUCUGCAAGUUGGGGUGUGCGUCGUCUGUGUGCAACAACAUCAACGCUGGUAAGCAACUUUUGCUCAGACAGAGAAAACAAUAAUCAUUAAUUAGCGGCAGCUAGAAUCCUAUAAUCUAAUAUAUAUAUAUAUAUAUAAUUUUAUCAGCUCUGGGAAAUGAAGAGGCGAACGAUGCCGUUGAGAGUUGCGACCAAGCCUGCUCUAGCUUCUGCAGCGUGCAUGUUGGCAGCGCCACCGUGGUUGCUUAAGCAAAUGCAUCCAACUAGAUCGUCCUUGUGCUGAAUAAUUGGAUAUCGUAUCCACUUAAAGCUGCCUUGUGUAGUACGUCUUUGUGUCUCUCUUUAUAUUCCAAUAAGGUCGGUGAUCUUGAUGCCACACACUCAGAUGUGUGUUCAUCUCCAGAUACUACUCCAUGCUACCUGCCCUUUGUGUUUUGUUCAAUAACUGGGUAUCAUAUCCCAGCCAGUAUGCCGUCUGUUUUGUGUUUGUUUCCUUCUAGUUCCAAAGGGGUCAUCAUGAUGUUACCUUCUUUCAAUAUGGUGCUUUGCAUGACUACUGUUGUAUGGUACCAUCUUGUGGCCAAUAAGUACAUCUUAUCCUAUGACCUUUGCUAUGACCCUUUGCAAAUAAGUAGAAGAUUGUUAUAAGCGUCAAUACUCCGUAUAAAUUGAUCGCUGCUGUGAGUUCCCUUUCAGCUUAUCGUAGGCAUACAUUAUUGCUAGCACGGUAAAGCCAACCAACACGAAUGAUGAAGUAAACGUAGCGGUACUUCUGUAUACCAACACCCUUACUUAAAUGUACCGGUGUCAUUCCCUACUGGCACAUAUAUUCUUAUAUGCUAGCCAGCUUGUAAAAUUAACCAAUUAAAAUAAUUAUUUCAAGAUAGAAAUAACUUAUCGGUUUCUGGAAGCAUGUGUAAUGUGAAUUCAAGGACUCGACGGAAGUUGAAUCACUUCAUCUAUAUUGCUUUCAGUAUUUUGGGUAACUAAAUUUAACAUUUGCACAUACAAAUGUUAAAGUACAAAUGUUAAAUCUAGUUACCCAAGCAGAAUAUGAAGAUAGUUUAUAGUAUAUAUAUACUAUAUAAAUCUAGUUAACAUUUAGUCUAAAUGUUAAAUCUAGUUACCUAAAAUCCUGAAAGCAAAAUGUAUAAAUAUAUAUCUUUUAAGGCAGUAUAAGCUUCGAUUCCUAUUGCUGCUCUGUUAAAUCUCAUCUUUCGUUGUGGCCCAACACUCUAGUAUGCAUGUUGCACCAAGCUUCUUUGAGCCGCUCUGCCCUCUGAUUUUGCUGCGUAGGGGAAUCUUUAUCAGGUUGGGCUACUUCCAGUUGUGCGAUGUAAAGAUUCGUAUUUUCUAGAAGGUAGACAAAAAACUCGCGUUCUCUUAAGGCAACAACCGGAAGAUUCUGCAGCGCACAGGGCAUACCAUUAUUGUAGAAACGACCUUUAGUACCGAUCUCCAACCCCCUUUAAAACUGGUUUUGCAACCGGUACCGUUAUGUCGGUCCUUUAGUACCAGAUCAAAUAAGUACCGGUUGGUAACCAGUAUCAACUUGUUUUGCGGCCAAAAAAAUAAAGAAAAAAACAGUCAGAAGGCUCGCACACACGCGCAUCACAUGAAAUAUGCGUGUGCGGGGUCCAUGGGAUUCGAACCCAUGAAAUCAAGCUGCACGCGACCCUUCGUUACCAUCUCACCUACAUAGCGCAUAUGCUUUCCUGAAGUAACCCGUGGAGGAGGCUUUAGUACCGGGUCAUAACACCACCCGGUACUAAAAAUGACUCUUCAGUACCGGGUCAUAACACCACCUGAUACUAGUAUCGGAUGGUGUAAUGACCCGAUACUAAAAGGCCUCUAGGGACCCUCAAAUUUGAACCCGGUACUAAUGCUAAUAUUAGUAGCGGGUCAAAGUGCAGCCAGAACUAAAGCAUGGGAUGAAAGGUCAUAUUUCUAGUAGUGUAUAGUUGUUGUGAAGGACUGACUUGGCUGUCCUCUCUCUUCUCCAUCCCCUUGGUCUUACGCCGCCGCUCGCACGCGAGCCGGUGCCCAACCAGAGGAGUGAGAGCUAGGGGCAGGUUGGGAGGUGGGGAUAGUGACUGGUGGCCAGGGUGAUGGUUGAUCCUGGUGGGGUUAGGGUUUCAGGGUUUUCGAGCUUCCUAUGGUCGGCGAACCUAGAGGAGAAGCUCAACAUCAGCUGCAACCCGCGAUGGUGGUGGUUUGGCCGGCGCCCGAGGCGAGGCAGCGCGGGAGUGCUGCCGGUGGGUUGGUGUUGGCACUCAUUAUUGACAACUAUUUUGUUCAUAAAAUAACACUCAAACUUGCUGCUGCUGCUGCUGCCAUCGCCACCCUAGCCAUAAUAUAAAGGCAAAAUUUGCUAAAGGACAUGCAAAAUGAUGCUAGUUUGCUGGCGGGCAUCGUUGACCUUGUAAUAUGCUACAAGACACUCUAGUUGUGUAUCAAUUUGCUGAAAGACAUUGCUAUGACUAAAAUAAUGUUUCUGGACUGAGUUGGAGAGAGAGAUGGAGUGAAAUGUCUGUUUUGCCCAUGACCCCACUGGUCAGAUCCUUCUUCUUCCACCCUCCUUUGUUCUUUCUUCAACCAUUACCCAGCUCCAGCGUGUUGCAGAUCUACGAGGGUGGCGGCCUGGGGCGAGGGGCAUCGCUCGCCCUUGGAGGAGCGCUGCGAGCGACGGCGCGGGGGCGGCAACAGCGCGUCAGAACCUGACUGUUCGUUAGCUCCUCUCGCUGCUGGGGAAGAAGGAGGGGGAUGGGCCAUGGACGGGGUUCCCUUGAAAACCUCAGCGUCGAGCUCGGGCGGCUACGCGCAGGCAGCACUAGGCUGCUUCACGGGGAGGGGGCGCGGCCAAUCAUUGGCACCCCACUGGUCCAAUGCUGAUGAAGAUGGUGCCAGCGUCGUGUGAGGACAUCUCAUCUCCUCGAGUUCCAUGGCCAGCACAGGUGAGCUGCCGCUACCACAAAACAGAGGUUUCGUGAGAGUCAAAAAACCUUAUGAAAAUAGCUAAAACCAUCAUGAAAAUAAUCCGUGACAUGACACUCUCACGAAAAUCCUCUCACAAAUAUGGUGCCAUGAAAAUACCAUUUUCAUGAGAGUGAACUGUCAUGAUUUUAUAAGCGUCAAUACUCGGUAUAAAUUGACUACUGCUGUGAGUUCCCUUUCAGCUUAUCGUAGGCAUACAUUAUUGCUAGCACGGUAAAGAGAACCAACACGAAUGAUGAAGUAAACGUAGCGGAACUUUUGUAUACCAACACCCUUACGUACCGGUGUCAUUCCCCACUGCCACAUAUAUUCUUAUAUGCUAACCAGCUUUGAAAAUUAAGCGAUUAAAAUAAUUAUUUCAAGAUAGAAAUAACUUAUCGGCUUCUCGAAGCUUGUGUAAUGUGAAUUCAAGGACUCGAUGGAAGUUGAAUCGCUUCAUCUAGAUUGCUUUCAGGAUUUUGGGUAACUAAAUUUAACAUUUGCACACACAAAUGUUAAUGUACAAAUGUUAAAUCUAGUUACCCAAGCAGAAUAUGAAGAUACUCUAUAGUAUAUAUGUACUAUAUAAAUCUAGUAAACAUUUAGUCUAAAUGUUAAAUCUAGUUACCUAAAAUCCUAAAAGCAAAAUGUAUAAAUAUAUAUCUUUUAAGGCAGUAUAAGCUUCAAUUCUCUGUUAAAUCUCAUCUUUCGUUGUGGCCCAACACUCUAGUAUGCAUGUUGCACCAAGCUUCUUUGAGCCGCUCUGCCCUCUGAUUUUGCUGCGUAGGGGAAUCUUUAUCAGGUUGGGCUACUUCCAGUUGUGCGAUGUAAAGCUUCGUAUCUUUUAGAAGGUAGACAAAAUACCCGCGUUCUGGAAGAUUCUGCAACGUGCACGUUGGCGCUGCCACCGUGGUUGCUUAAGCAAAUGCAUCCAACUGAAUCGUCCUUAAGCUGAAUAAUUGGAUAUGGUAUCCACUGCUUAAAGCUGCCAUGUUUAGUACGUCUUUGUUUUUCUCUCUUUAUAUUCCAAUAAGGUCGGUGAUCUUGAUGCCACACACUCAGAUGUGUGUUUAUCUCCAGAUACUACUCCAUGCUACCUACCCUUUGUGUUUUGUUCAAUAACUGGGUAUCAUAUCCUAGCCAGUGUGCCAUCUGUUUUGUGUUUGUUUCCUUCUAGUUCCAAAGGGGUCAUCAUGAUGUUACCUUCUUUUGAGGUGUCUAUGAUGACUUCGUUAAUAUCAAUAUUAACCAAUUCAAUCUGUCUUAACUAUUUGUAAGGGGUAUGAUGUAUGCAUGAUUAUAACAAUGAUUGCGCAUACAAUCGCCGCCAAAGAAACGGUCAAUACCAUUAAGACAUAUUACAGACAAUUCUCAUAAUCUAUAAUGAAUAUACAUAUUCACUACUGCAGAAGACUGUCAUUUGUAUCGGCUCAUACGUGCCAGGGCAAAGGUCACCCUUGCAUUAAGUACAUUUGCACGGUAAAGACAACCAACACGAAUAAUGAAGUAAACAUGCCGGUGCUUUUGUACACCAACACGCUUACUUAAAUGUACUGGUGUCAUUCCUCACCGGUAGCCGGCUUGAAAAUUAACCAAUUAGAACAAUUAUUUAUUGUAUCGGUGUGAUUUUUGACCUAUUGGAAUAUGAAUUUGACCGUUACUGCAUUCGUCAAGACUCAAGAGAGAAAUAACUGAUCGGCUUCUUAGAGCGUGUGCAAUGUGAAAUCAAGGACUGGAUGGAAGUUGAAGCGCUAGCACUAGUAGAGAAACGACUUUCCAUCCACCCCCUUUUGUCCCGGUUUAAAGUUGGCUCGGGAUAAAAGGUUCACCAACCGGGACUAAAACUCAGUCACUGGUGGGAGGCUCACCAACCGGAACCUUUUAUCCCGGUUGCAAAGGCUAAUGGGAAAAAAAGACUCUGAGAGGCCUUUUAUCCCGGUUUGAAACACCAACCGGGAUAAAAGACCCCCCUUUUAUCCCGGUUGGUAACACCAACCGAGAUAAAAGGGUCAAGAGCCUUUUAUCCCGGUUGGAAACACCAACCGGGAUAAAAGACCCCCUUUUAUCCCGGUUGGUGUUUCAAACCGGGAUAAAAGGGCCCCCACGAGGUGACUGGAAGGUGACUGGAAGGGGAUUAAAUCGUGGGGGACCCUUUUAUCCCGGUUGGAAACACCAACCGGGAUAAAAGGGGGUCUUUUAUCCCGGUUGGUGUUUCCAACCGGGAUAAAAGGGUCCCCCACGAGUUAAUACAAAAGGAUAGUAUCCCCUACAUAGUCAGAUGUGGUGUGUAGGUGGGAUGGUAAGGAAGCUACGCGCGAGCUCCGGAAUUUUUUUUUUUUUUUUUUGCAGCGUCGGCGCUCUCUACCCUUUUAUCCCGGUUGGUAUUACCAACCGGGAUAAAAGGGGGUCUUUUGUCCCGGUUGAGUGACCCGGGAUAAAAGACCCCCCCUUUUUUCCCCGGUUAGUUUAUCCCGGAUGCAUUUUCGGGAUAAAAGCACCCUACCAACCGGGAUUAAAGCUCACUUCUCUACCAGUGUAGCUUCAUCUUCCGCUGCAAGUUAAUUGCUUGGAUAAGAAGUUGUAGCCGCUGCAAGUUAUAAAUAGUCCCGCUGAUGCUGUGCUCCGAAGUCUAUACUAUAUAUGCGGAAACUAGAUUGCUUUCAGGAUUUUGGGUAACUAAAUUUAACAUUUGUACAUAAAAAUGUUAGUUUACGAAUGUUAAAUCUAGUUACCCAAGCAGAACAAGAAGAUAGUAUAUAGUAUAUACUAUAUAAAUCAAGUUAACAAUUAGUCUAAAUGUUAUAUCUACUUACCCAAAAUAUUGAAAGCAAAGAAAGAAUAAGUAUAUAUCUUUUGUUGGAAAAUUGGUCCACGGAGAGGCCCAUUUAGGCCUCGUUCGUUUCACCGGGAUGGGAUUCCAGUCAGGAUUACUUCCAAGUUCGGUUUGAGUGAUUCCACCCGUGUCACUCAAUCCGGCUAGGAUUCAUUCUAUGGGUGAGGAGGUAUGGUUUCAAUCCAGGCCAUCUAAUGUAGAAGGAUUCCAAUCCAGGCCGGUUUUCGUUCCAGGCCAGACUAAAACGAACAACACUUUCAAUGCAAGUCUGGUUUCAAACCGGGCCAUUUCAAACCACCCGGAAUGGACCUCGUUCCAGGCCAAUCCGGUGAAAACAAAUGAGGCCUUAAUGGAAUCCCAAAGCAAGAGUUCAGUGGCAUUCUAUAGUCCCAUGCUGCUAGUUUGAGUUGGUCGAAGCCAACUUAAAUAGGAGAGCUCUCUCACUUCUCUAAAUACGUAACUGAAGGAGAGAAGGGGGCUUGGGUUACACAACGCACGCACGCACGCAUAUUUGCGUUCUUUUCGCGUAACCAACCGCGUGACUUGAAACUUGCGACGUAGCGUGCUGCUAAGUCAAGUUGAUAUAACCUUUUUGCCGUUUGCAUGUAAUCUUUUGACAACGGUCAUUGGAGGUGAUAAGCACGCAGUCAAUACCUUAAUCUUGAGUUAAUAGGGUGGUUACUACUGCCAAUUAGUGGGGCAAUUUUGUAGGGGAAACGGUUAGCAGAGGGCUACCGUCUUCUCUAUAAGAAGUUCUGGAGACGUCCAGGAACACACAUGUACAUGUGAGAGACCCACAAAUUCCUUCCCUUCUCCCUUUUCCAUGUGGUGAAGUGUGCUGUGGUACUGAGCUGCUUGAUCUCGCCGCUCUUCUCCUUGGCAUGCACCGAGGAGGAGGGUGAGCGGUAUCUCCGAGCUAUUGCCGUCAGGAAGCCUGCACGAGGGACAACAAAAAGUUUUUGGGUAGCGCAACUGCCAGCACAACUCUCCCUCCGCCUCUUCUUCACGGUUGAUGGCCACCACAAGCAUAAACCUCGCCUUCGCAUCCACGCAAAAGGGUCGCUGGGGUGCCUUCUUGCAUCGCUUCUCAGCCUCCUUGACUUGCGGCCAGCCAAGAACUGCGCCACCACCUCGGGUGCACGCCACCACUCCAGGGCUGCUACCCCAUGCCUGCGGCCGCCGCCGGCCACCACGCGUGUGCAACCGCGUCGCACCGCUUCCUUGCUUUGUGCCACCACUGCUGCUGUACCACCAGCUCCACCACCUUGGGCUGGUCGCCAGAGUGACUGAUAACUUAUUAUCUGUAACUACUAUUAACUCAGGGAUACAUGCGUCUUUUGCUUCUCCUACUAAUAUGUCCUAAAAUAUCUAGGAUGCCUUAUAUUUCUGGACAGAGGAAGUAUUUGAAUAAAAUGAACCAAUUUAAAAAAAUGUGUUGUACACUACUACAGAAAGACCUAUCAGUGUCAAACCCAAAAAUGUUGUCACCGCCAGUUUUGGGCAUCAUUGGUGAAAGGUUGGCGGUGAUGGGCUUUCCCUUCAACAACGGCACUGGAGCCGACGGUGAUUGACAUUAGAAAACAAAAAAGGGGACCCUACCUAGCCACCCCUGCAACCCGGCCGGCCGUGCCUCCCCUCAUCCCCACCACCUCGCCUCCCCAUGACCCCCCGCCGGCGCCCUUGCGCCUAGCCCCCUCAACUGCCCAGCCGGCCACCCUCAUCACGAGAGAGAGGUGCAUGUUGUAUAAUUGCGUGAAUUUUUUAAUGUUUAAUUUCAUGUAAGUUCCGUGUAAUAAAUUGUACAAGUUUUAUUGUAUAUAUGAAUUCCAUAUAUAUAUAUAUAUAUUUAUAAUUUAAUGUAUGGUUUCAUGUGUAUAUUUCAAUCAUGUGUAUAUUUAGUAGAUUGCCGAUUUUCUUUUUCUACUAGACAAGGGUUGAUGUAUAAUUACGUGUAUAUGUUUAUUGUACGGGCAAUUAGGACAAGUUUUGUAUAAAUUUCUUUUAUUUGAUGGUUGUUGUAUGGUUUCAUGUAUAUACAUUUAUUGUACUACUUUAGACAAUUUUUAAUUUAAUGUUUCUAUGAUUAGAUGUGUGUAUAACUAAUUGUAUUAUUAGUUAAGAUGGGAGCUAAAGAGGAUGAAAGGUAUAUAAUGGAGCAGAUUAUUGCUAGCUCAAACGUUGCAAGAACCUACACCGAGGGUGAGGGUAGCUAGGUGGACAUGUACCUCAACAUGUCCAGUGAUGGCAAUGACGAUGAGGAGCACGAGCAUGACAUCUAUGAUAAUGCGGAACAAGACAUUGCAGAAUUGGAAGGUUCUAAUGAGGUGUGCUUCAUGUUGACAAUCUAGUUGGCUUUUUUUCGUUGGUCACACCUUAGUUACCAUAGAACUUCGUCUCGGGAGAAGAUUGGUGGUGGUAUGGUGAUUGGAAUUUUAUUUCCACGAAAUCUGAUUUCCAUCGAAUCAUAUCCCUUGUAUUUAUCUUCUUUUUAUUUGUGAGAGCAUCUUCUUUAUGCUUGCAAAACAAUUCAAGUGCACAUACUACCCCUAGGGUGACGAUUGGGAGUAGAAAUAAUUGCCAACAAAACAACACCACAUCCUAAGAUUCUUAACUUGUGGCAUAAUUAGUCUAGUAAAAAGAAAGAUAAAAACCUAAUGGGUGUAUGUGAGUGCAAUGUGUAUAUGCAUAUGAGUGGAAGGCAUAUAAGCAAAGACAAUAUUUACACAUAGUUCUAAACACCAUGUUUACAGCUAGGUUGCUGAAUUUCUCCAUAGCCAUAGAGAUUAAUUAACCAAGGUCAAAACACGAUGUCUAUCCCAAGAUCAGUAAUUAUUUAUAGCACAAGAAAAAGAAAGCGCAUUGCAAAGUUUAUAAACCAACCAAUACAGCAUGAAAACAAGAUGAAUAGCUAGCAAGGUUUAUUAAACUGAAUGAUGACGGUCUGUAAGCAAGUUUAAACACCAUCUUUACACAAGAUUGCAAAUGGAAAAUGCCCAUAUGAAGCACUAACAUGGAUAUGAAAUCAUUCAUCAUAAAGCGUAAAGAACAACCAAGCCAACCAUAUGCAAAGCAUGAAUGGAAUGCAAUGAAGGUGCAAGAGAACAUUUUUGGAUGAACACAUUAUGAUGAUGGCAAAAUGCAAUGCAUGCAGAAAAAAUAAAUAUGAACAUGAAUAUGAUGAUCAGGGGCGGACCCACUAUUGUGGCCUGGGUAUUCCUCGGCAUACCCAAUAUUUUUGGGAAAAUGUUUAGUAGUUUUUAAUGGCAUAUACAUGUAUAAUAUAGUUUAGGUGUUAAAAUUGAUAUUCACAGCUAUUUUGGGCUCCAAUUCGCGUCCAAACCAACCUGGCCCACAGACCGCACCCGGCCGCCCGGCCCAUCGGCCCAUCUUGUCACUGAUCCUCCCACCACCACACUCAGCCCGUCAGUUAGUCAGGUCCCGAGCUCCUGCCUGACCUAGUCCGCUACCACCGCCAGGCGCCAGGCACAGCUGUACACGCCGCCCCCGUCCACCCACGUCCGCCGCACGGCCGCGUCGCGCCCCCCCCCGGCGCCCGCUGCUGCCAGAACCCAUUAGGCCUCCACCGGCAAGUCCACCCACAGUCCCGCGCGACGCGGCAGCCUCUUGGCUCUCGGCGCUCGCGGCGCGCCAAUGCCUGCGCAGCCCCAGCAGGCGACUGCCCCCCCCCCCCCCGCAUCGGGCCUCGGCCCCUCCCCAGCUCCCCCUCCCCCCUCCACCAGGACUGCCUGCUGGCCCCCACCGCGAGGUAAUCGAAAUGGACUGCUCAAUCUCUCAAUCUGUUGACAUGAUGCACACGGUUGCAAAAAUAGAUGUGUCAAAAUAGAUGUAUUGCCAAUUGCUAUAGAUGCAUAUGGUUGACAUGAAGAAGUCAAAAAUGACAUUUGGUUCCUUGUAGGCAGUCAAAAAUGAAGAAGUCAAACAAUAUUGAUCUGAAAUCAAUGCGGGAAAGGGCUACGAAGACACACGGGUAGAUUCCCUUGUGAACUUUUUAUGUCGUUCGUCUAAAUAUAUUUUUGCAAUGGGCAUACCCUACUCUGAAAUCCUGGGUCCGCCACUGAUGAUGAUGGUCUAAACAUAAAACAAGCCUAGAUUAAUUAGCUACAACUGAAAUUAAGCAAAGGUUAAUGUCAUUGACCCUAGCUCUAUCCUAGCUUUUACUAAAGUCCCGGCACAUAUAGUGGUUGGGCCCACUCUCUCUACUUCCCUCUCUGCUGCAUGCACACACACGAGCAACUGGAGGCCCAACAAAGCCCAGAAGGGUUCGGCCGAACCCGUCCGAUCCAGUCUGAGCGCCGCUCCCUCCCAGCCUUCGCGCAGAUGCUCCUCCAACGUUCCUUGACCCCUCCCUCAGUGUCCCAUUGGGUUUAACAUUGUAGGAGAGGAGUCCCUUUUUUAAAAUCUCAACCACCUCCUCUCCUCAUUCACUCCACUCUCAUCUCCAUCAAACUCACCAAGAUCCACAUCGGAAAUACCUGCUUACCACCAUGGCUGGCAAAGCCCUCGUCCCUUUCACCAACUUGGGCUUGACCAUUGAUCUCGAUGGGAAAAUCACUCCAGCAAAUGUCAUUGUCCCUGUCGGCGAUCUGGCGAUGGAGGAGGUCCAGGCACUAGAGGUCGAGCCCCUAGCCAUCAUACCGCCCAAGGGGUAAAGCAGGAGCAUGACAGGCGCUGCUAGGGGUUCAGCCGAACUCCCAGUUCAGCCAAACGAGGACGGCGUCGCCUCGGCCUCCCGCUCGACUGCAUGCUUCCCCUUGCCAAGGAGGACUCCAGAACAGCGGGCGCGUGCGUCAAGUCCCUACAAAAGGCUGAAAUACAAUGAAUAUCCAGGGUCACCCUUGAAGAUGGGUGAACGCUACGCCGGGUCCUUGUUUGACUAGUACGGCGAUGCAUUCUGCCACCGCUAUGUCGUUGUCGAGAUUAGCGGAUCAAGACUUAGACUAGUAAAUUUCUUUUAUGCGCGUAAGGCUUCAGAUGGUGGCGUGGGAGACAUGGGUUUUAUACUAGUUCGGGCAAUGGAAUACCCUACGUCCAGUGUCUGGAGCUGCUUGUGUUGCCCACGCGGGGUUCUGUAGUAGGGGUUACAGGUGUGCGAGAGAGGGAGCUAAUCCCAGGUCUCUUAGGCGUGUUCCGGUCCUCUAGAUGGGAGAAGUGUGUUCUGUUUGCUUGGGAGUAUCGGUUGUGUCUGAGUUGUCUCCGGAGCCUCCUCCCGUCUCAGGUCCCCGAUUCUCCUUUCAUAGCACAAGGAGACCAUCGGGGUUACAGACGAGACCGAGCGUGGGGAGGAGUAAAGAGAUAAACAUAGCUAGGUAAAAAUACAACAAGAAAGGGGGGAACCAAGUUUCUAGGUCACCGGCGUCCUCGCCGGCCUUCGACUUCCGCCGGCGCAUUUGUCGGAGGAGGGUGGCCGCCAUCGCGUUCUGUCGAUGGCUUCCUCGGUGACUGUAGCCACCGGGCGUGAUGAUGGCAUUUCGUCGUGACCCUUUGUCUGUUGGGGGAGGCGGCGGAUCCUGCCAUUCUGCUGACGGCUCGCGGAGUGCGAACGUCGCAUCCCUGCCGCUGGGCACGCGGGGCGCGAGAACGUGCGAGGCUUCCCCCUACCCCAGGCGGCGCAGGCCAUGAGUGCCCUGUGGCAAAUCGGAGGAGGCCGCAGCUACUGUAGCUUGUACUGUGCAGCCACGUAUGGGUACUUGUGGCAGGUUGCGUGGUGGAUGCGGAUAUCCUUCUCCCUGACAGAUCUGCGGCGCAUUUAUGGCGAGAUCGACAUGGGGACCCACAAGACCCGCGCCCAAGGCGGAUACUUGUCUGGAGGGCCCGGGUUAGCCUGACCCCCUACGCUUGGGGUCGGGCGAGGCGGAGACUUGCGGCGGGGCGUCGGACGCUCCCGACACUAGACCUGCGGUCGCGCAAGGCGGAGCUUGGUCUUCCGGGGGUCGGGGGUGCCGGACCCCAGGAUGCGGGGUCGGGCGAGGUGGAGCGUAAUUCUUGCCUCCCAUGUUGGGCCGAUGGCAGUCUUUGUUACCUCUAGUGGGCUUGGGCCUUUAUGUUUUGUUGUUUCCAUGGGCUUCGAGAGGUCGUUAAUAUUUCCCCCCAACAGUAGCCCCCGAGCCUGUGGUGGAGUGGGGGCGCUCCUCCGGAGGCUACUAUCAUCGCCCCUAGGGAAUCCUCGCAGUUGAUCCGGGAUAGGAGGUGUUGUUUGCACGGCUUGACCGAGGGGGUCGAUUAGGCGACGCAUCCUGUGAGCGACUCGGUGCGGGAGGGUUUCUUGUUGUUCCCUUCUGUCUGAGAGCCUUAAGUCGAGACCACCUGCGUGGCCUUUGGUUGCAAGGCCAGCCCCCGAGCCCCCGCACGUUGCAGGGGACCGGUCGGAGGCUAGGUCGACUUUUGUUCAUUACCCUCAAGCGUCUGUUCGCUAGGACGGAGGGGGCGAGCCGUGCCAUGCUAUCCUCAUCGGACGAACCAUGGUGCUCAUUGAGUUACUAACGGGUUGAUUCGAGUGGGAUCCCGGUCCCCGUUCGGGGGGGGUCCGGCUUGGGCCAAGCUGGUGGCGUACCCCAGGCUCCGGUCGGCCAGUUCAUAUAGUUCCUGAGUCCGUUCGGUCGGACCGGGGGCUCAUUGCCUUUCUUCGGGGAAAAACCAUGAACUUUGAUGCCGGUCCAGACUCGAAUGUGAGAUUGAGACGCCCGGGGCUGUCGCGUGCCCGGGUGAUGGCCGCUAGCGGACCCGUCUCCUCUCACCCCUCACUCGGGGGUAUCCUGAGGCGGCUGUCGAACCCGUGGCGGGCCAGCCUUCGAACCUCUGGAUCGUAAUGGGCCGUAGGGGCGUUUUCAGCCCCGUAUCCCUUUUUACCUUUUGGUGGGCCUUGGGCCGAAUCAUGGAGGAGGUCGGGCCUUGGGCCGGAUGCGGAGGAUGUCGUGCCUUGGGCCGGAUGUGGGGGACGUCGUGCGUGUCUUCCGGGAGACGAAGUGGUGGAGGGUGCCAACCCGCGAAUCGAGGGAGGAGGGGAUGUUUCUACUGCAGGUCAUGCGCACGGUUUCCGAAAAGGCAGCGGGCGUGACGGGACGUACCUCGCGCCGCAUUUAUUGCGAUGGGGGCGUCUGUUCUGCUUCCCUCGUGCCUUCCCUAUAAAACGAGGACUUCGCCUCGCCGGUUCCGCCCGCCAUCUACCUUCAAGCCUUUUCGCCUCCUCGCGCGCCCUUAGCUUUCCUGUGCCCGCUUCGUCUUCCUCCGCCCAGUGCCGCGCCCUUUCUCCCCAUCCGCCGUCGAGUUCUUCUCCCUCCGGCGAUGGGAUCCUGGGCGCGUUCCCACUUCGGCCCCUCACGCGCCGAAGGCCUAGUGAGGAAAGGCCUCCUUUGCGAGAGGACGGAGACGGAUGAGUGGGGGUUCCCUGAGAUGGAAGAGGUGCCGACUCCGCCCACCGGCUACGUCGUUUCCUUUGCCCACUUCCACGAGAGGGGGUUUGCGACUCCGCCGAGCCUCUUCUUCCGCGGGCUUUUGUAUUACUACGGGCUUGAGCUGCAGCACCUCAACCCCAACGGGAUUCAGCACGUCGCGGCGUUCGUUGCGGUGUGCGAGGGGUUCCUGGGCAUUGAGCCCAACUUCUCGCUGUGGAAGUACUUCUUCACGGUCAGCCUAUACCAGAAGGCCGAGAAGAGGGGAAGCCAGCAGCGGUCGACCCCGGUGCCGAUAGGGUGCGUCGGAAUCCACCUCUGCCAUACUCGCGCCAAGGAGUAUAUCGCGAUGAAGACCGCGGCAUCCCACAAGGGGUGGCACCAGCAAUGGUUCUACGUGAAGAACUACUCCAACCCCCCCUGCCGGAGUUCACCGGCCGCAUUAUUGAAGCGGCGCCGGAGGUGUGGGUGUACGGCCCGGUGGAGAAGGAGAAGAAGCGGAUCACCGGCCUGCUGCAGGCCAUCGAGCACCUGAAGGAGAGGGGACUGACCGGAGCCGGAGUCAUCGGGGCGUACCACGCCCGGCGGGUGGCGCCGCUGAUGCUCCGGGUCCGCUCGCUCGCCGACAUGACCCCCGGUGCUCUCACCGAUGGCACUGUCCUCGCGACGGGUGCUCUCGCUGCCUCCGAGAUCCGGCAGCGGAUCCGGGAGGCGCUGGAGGACAAGGACGCCGAUUACCCGGUGCCCGGCCACCCUCCGAUGCGCCCGGACGAGAAUUUCAUUGAUCUGGUAAGGAUUUUGCGCGCCAGUUUCCCUCUCUUGCGUUUCUUGGUAUGCCGUUCUGACGCGAGGCCCUCUGUGUUUGCAGGGUAGCAUGACCCGGGUCGUCGACUUGCGUCCGCCAGUGUCGGAGGACGCCGAGUGGCGGUAGCAGAACCGUCUCCUUGCCGAGAAGCAAAAGUGACGCAAGGACAAGAGACAGCGAAGAAGAAGAAGAGGGCCGCCAAGGAGUUCCAGCGGCGGCGGUGGGGAUAGGUCGUGUCGGAUGACGAUGACGAUGAGAAGGAGGAGGAGGAUGACGAGGAGGAGGAGGAGUUUAUCCUGUCCCCCCGGUCAGGGGCGCUUGUUAUCCGGGAGCCGCGCUCCCAAGCGGCCAUGGGGGACAAGGCGGGCGAGCUGCCUGCCCGGACCCGAUCCUGCGAAGCUUUGGGGGCGCGCCCCAGGGGUCGGCGCAGAGCGCCCCCCGGGGGUCGACGGAGCCGACCCCCAUCCCUACACCUGCAGCCCAGGAGCAGAGGAGCAGCGACAAGCGGCCGUUGCCAGAUGCCCCGGGGUCGGCGUCCAGCUCAGAGGCGAAGCGCGCGCGCCGCCCUUGCGCUGGGGGAACGUGAGUUGAAUUUCCUUGCGAAUCUCGUUCCUUUCCAUGCAUUGUGUUUGUUUCCGCUGAUGCUGUUUGUUGUCUCACAGCACCGCCCCUCAAGGCCUUGUCCCGCCGUUGGCGCCAAAGAAGGCGUUGCGGUGUUGUCGCCUCUGCGGGGCGGACCGCGGCUCCGCCGGCGGCGAGUGGCGGGGUCACUGGUGAGACCGCGGGUCCUACCGCGGAGGUGGCCCCUGCGGCGGCAACCGGUGGAGUGGUGCCACCGCCGGGCAUGGGACAGGGUCUGGACCCCGCUCCGUCCUCCGCCUCUUCGGCCGACCCCGCGGUGCAGAGUAUCGCUCCUGGGGGCCCUCAGGCCGGGGAGGUGAUUGACCUCGACGCCGACGAGGUGGAGGAGACGGCGGCGGUGGAGACGGGGGCGGUUGCCCCAGCGGCCAUGACGGGGACGACGACGGCGACGGGGGAAGGAGAGUCUACCCCCGCGGCCACGGCGGGGACAGUGGCGACAGAGGAGGCGGGGACGCCCGCCCCGGCGGCUGCGACGGAGGAGGCGGCGGUGACGGAGACGGGGGCUUCCGCCCGGGAAGCCACAGCCGAGGUGGCAGCGGCGACGGAGGUGAAAGUGCCUGUUCUGGAGGCCACGGUGGGGGUGGGGACGCCUGCCUCGUGGCCACGACGGAGGGCGAGGCGGCCCCAGGGACACUUGCUCCGGCACCCGCGUUGGAGGCGGUGGCGCCGACGGGUUGGCCCGUGGCGGCCUCGACGGGGGCGGGGGUGCGUGCGCCGGGACCGUCGGUGAGGCCGGCGACUUCCGGGAUGGUGGUGCCCGUCUUGACGGCGGCGGCGGCGCGGUCGGCCCCCGCCCUUGCCUCUACCACUCCCAUUCCCAAGGCGUGGAGCGGAUCCGUCCUGCGUUGGUCGUCUCGUGACGACCCGCAGAGGCCCCUCUUCACGUUGGAUGAUGCCACAGAAUGGGGCAAGUGGCAGGCGCUGCAGGGCGGACUCGCUAACGUCCGCGCCGCUCUAUCUUCGGCGUUGGGGGAGCUGGACGGCGUCAUCUUCCCCGGUGGCCGGGUAUGGUGCUUUCUCCGUUGGUUAUUUUCUUCCCGUUACUUCGUCCCUGAUGGCACAUUGUUCUGCAGGCCCUCCAAGAAUGUAGCCGGGGAAAAUCUGAUUUCCUUUGGCUCGAGCAGGGGCUCUGGGAGCGCUUCAACUUGGAGUUGCAGCGGACCGGGGAGCUGACCAUGCAAGUCGCCACCGUCUAGCAUGUCAUCGACGAUCUGCGAAGGCACGAGCAGGCGGCACAGGAGGACGCGCGGCGGGCGGAGGCCAAGUUCCAGGUCGUUGCCGAAAGGGCUCGCUGCGACCGCGAGGAGUUCCAGGCCGUUGCCGAAAAGGCCCGCCACGACGCUGAGGAGCUCGCACGGCUGAAGGUGCAGCAUGAAGCUCUUCAGAAGAGCGGCAGAGGGCCUGGCAGGACCGGGACGCCGAGAAGGUCCGGAAGGAGGAGGCUGAGAAGGUGGCGGCCAACCUUGGGGCUGAGGUCAGCCAGCUCCAAGUGCAAGCGCGAGAGCUUCAGGCCUCCGUGGCCCAGGGGCUCGACCAGGAGCGCCAGCUGAAGGCCUAAUCCGAGGGUAUGACUCUGUUUAUUUCUUUGUCUUUGUGAUGUUGCGGUGAUAUUUUAUUUGGCGGGUUCUUCUGGAUGAUCCUUGCAGAUGAGCUCAACUGGCUGAGGGAGGUGCUUGACGCGGAGCGCGCUGAGCACGGCGACCUGCGGGACGCGGUCCGCGUCAUCUGUGACUUCCUUAGUGUGGUCCAGGGGGAGGGGACGAGCUCGCUGGCGGCUCGUGUCCUCGGGACGUACCGCCGGACCAGCGAGAUCGCCCUGGAAGCGCUUCGCACCGGCUUGAGGCAAGCCUUUGGGGUCUUCGGCUCCCACUAUUCCGGCAUCAACUUCGCCGGGAUGAGCGGGGGAUACGCCACCGGCUACUACGAGGCCGAGCUGGAUGAGAUCGACGUGUCGGUGCUCAGCCCGGCGGAGGCCUUGGUGAAGCUCCUCGAGGAUGAGGCCGUCCCGCCCGAAGAUCCCCGGACGAGUUAACUAUAUCGGGCUGGCGCCCCAGAUGUAAAUACGUUAGGGAAAGACUUGUUUUUUGUGAGGGCCGUAGAGGCCUUUUCUAUGAAUUGUCGUAAAAAAGUUUUUGAUUCCCUUUCUUGCUUUUUGGACUUGGAAAGUUUAGAGCACGUUGUCGGGCGUGUCAGUAAGCUUUGAUGAGCGAAGGCACCGUAGCCGCUGGGGCGUCGUUUUUUUUGCAGUCCGAUCAAUCUUGCCUGAACACCGUUCGUGCACUUUCUCCUUUUUAUGCCCAAAAGUUCAGAAAGAGGGUCGGCUCGGAAAGAGAAAGCGUUUUGAGAGGGUGUCAAGUGGCUUAGGUACUUGCGGCAGGUUGCGUGGUGGACGCGGAUAUCCUUCUCCCUGACAGAUCUGCGGCGCAUUUAUGGUGAGAUCAACAUGGGGACCCACAAGACCCGCGCCCAAGGCGGAUACUUGUCUGGAGGGCCCGGGUUAGCCCGACCCCCUACGCUUGGGGUCAGGCGAGGCGGAGACUUGCGGCGGGGGGUUGGACGCUCCUGACCCUAGACCUGCGGUCGGGCGAGGCGGAGCUUGGUCUUCCAGGGGUCGGGGGCGCCUUACCCCGGGAUGCGGGGUCGGGCGAGGCGGAGCGUAAUUCUUGCCUCCCAUGUUGGGCCGACGGCAAUCUUUGUUACCUUGGGUGGGCCUGGGCCUUUAUGUUUUGUUGUUUCCAUGGGCUUCGAGAGGUCGUUAAUAUUUCCCCCCAACACUAUGAGGAGGACUUGUGGGCAGAAAGUCAGCUACCACAAACUUGCCUCUGAAUAUUUGGAGUGCAAACAUUGGAUGGUGGUUGUGGAGAGCCCCAGCCAUACCUCGCACCCGUGGAGAGGUAAUUGUCGGAUUGCUUGGUUCGUCUCUAGAAUGCGACAAGGUCAGGCGCCACCUCUCACUGCUGCCAGUCAGAAGGCCGAGGGGCCAGUUUCAACAUAGUAAUGAGAAUCUCCGAAGGCCAAUAUGGUUAAGCAGCUAACCUCCAUGAUCAUAGACUUACGUUUAGAAAAUAGGAGGCUUAGCGAUGCGUUAACAGAGCAGAAGUUAGAAACAGAAGAACUUAAGGACGACUUCCGUGUCCUCCGCCUUGGUCUUUGUGCUAAGAUAAAGCGCUUGUACAAUGCCACGGGGAAUGACGGUCUCUACGAUGCAGCUCAAUAGACGUGCCCCUUGUAUCCUUUCCUUUAGGCACUUUAGAAUAUGUUUAUUUGUUUUCCUUCAUUUUAAUUUCCAAUAGAUUGUUAGCGCCUCCAAUUUAAUUUCAAUAAAGUGUAGACUCACCGGUCAUCCAACUUGAUGGAGUCCUUUUGUCACCUAGUUGUCUUUGGAAGAAGUAGCUGGGUACAAAAUAAGUGUGGGGGAGAGCCACAGACUCUCUAGAGCUGAAACAAUGCACAACACCCACAAAUAGAGAAAACCACGCUGCACCAGCACGUACGUGAAAGUGGAGCCAGAGCUGGACCCAUAGGGGUUUGGCCAACCCAAGGGGUGGCCCACUCGGGCCAUCUUCAUCCACCGCGUCGGUUUGUGUCUCUUUACCCCUGAUCUCCCUGAUUCAUGAGUUUGAAUGAAUUUUAAAUCUGAUCAACUAAUUCAAACUCAACUAAAAUGAAUCAACUGCUCCACCUGCUCUACAUGUUUUCUAUGGUUGGCUUGCAUAUGUUUUAUUUCAUGCUUAUCAUCUUGAUGCUUGUGAACAAAUAUCUUUAGGACAGCAUGCUCAUCUAAGUAGUUGAUGUGUAUGAUAUGGUUCGAUGAUAUGAUCUUCACUCUUAAUGCUUAAGUGCUUGGGAAAAUCUAUUUGAAAAUUUAAAAGCCUUUUUGAAAUCUCCUCUUUGAUGUGCCAAAGUCCUACCAAAGCCAUAUGAUAAGUUAUCUUGAAAAACCAUUUGCAUAUGUUGCUUGUCUUUGCAUUGAGCUUUGUCAAAUUGGUGUGACCCUUGUCACAAUUCUUUUCAUACUUUCAUGAUCAAGACUCAUGUGCACGCCAUAUACCCCUUGCUAUGCUUCUAUGAGAUGUUAGCAUUGUACCAUCCAUUCAUUCCACAAAAUAAAUGCUCCACCAUAUGUGUUGGUCUCCUUCUAAGAUUAUUGUUACAAAAGAGAUAUGGGCUAUCAAAAAAAAAUAUGAAUGUCCAAGAAAGUUGGACACAUGAAUGUCCAAUAAAAAGAAAAAGAAAGAUAGCCAUGUCCUCAGAAAUAUUUACAAAGGGAGAGAGAUCAUACAAAAAGGAGUUUCCAUUCCAUCCACCACAUCCAUACAUGUGCACAUCUUGAUCUGAUUGUAUGACUUAUUUUUCUCUUUGGAUCUGGUCUUUGACUUUGCAAUAUAUGUGAUGCAAGCAUGCCUUAUCCUUCAUAGCCUACCUUGAGCUCCACAUAUAGCCAUCAUUAGAAGUAGGAUGAAGAAAGGCAAGUCUAAUGCCUUGGUGAGGACAUAUACACAUUGAGUGAUCUGAGAGAAUCAAAUGAGGAGCUAAGCAAGGUUUUGUUUUGAAAACUAAUUGAAAAAUCCCAAGCUACUUGGCAUAAGGAGUUGAGGUGACUUGAUUCAAGACCAUUACAUUCCUCAACUACCCAAGAUGGCAUGAUAGACACUCCAAAGUUCACAAGUGCAGGUAUGGUUUGGAAUAUCUUUUAGGCUCGCUUCAUACCUUUGAAAGUUAUGUUUCACCUUAGUCCUUUCUCGUUCACUCAAGGAUAAGCAAAGGCUAAGUGUGGGGGUGUUGUUGAUGGCUCUUAAGUACAAAAUCUGCGCCAUCAACUCUUGCAUAAACACAUAAAAUAUGAGCAUCAACAAUAGUGGUAGGAGUUAUUACAAACGAAUUCCACAAGUCUUGGUGAAUAUUUGUAUGCAAGCCCAAUAGGAGAGAAAAGACACCUCAAAAGCAAGGAAACACACUCUCAACCAAUCAAGAGCAAGCACAUGGAACCAUGGGCCCACAACCAAAAGGAAAUCGACUACAUUCCAAACACCCUAUACCCACAUGAGAACCCAUAGGGCAGUGACCCAGAGCAAAGGUGAUGCCAGAGUGUAGAUGGUAGUUAGCAUGCCAAAUUUUGAACCGCAAGCGCUCGGAUUAGUUGUUUCUUUUCCCUUAGAGAUUCCCCCAAGGUUUAUCAAUCCAUGGAACAAGGGAUUUGCACGUUUCACUAAGCACUAAUCAAUGUAAUUGAAAGCUUUUCGAAUAAGAUAUGAUUAUGCUAACAAAGGAACUAAGCAAUCUAGAUUAAGAUGGAUAGAGAGUACAGGUUGUGAACAAGAUAGAUUAAACGCUUGUAGAUGCAAUCACCAUGCAUGAAUGAAUUAGAUCUAGGUGUUAUUGUGAGUGGUUGUGAACCAUGCCCAACACUUUCCCACCCGCAACAUUGUCACUACAUGUGGGUACUCAACUAUCGGAACAUAAGAACACAUCAAGAUGAUCAUUCUAGGUAAGCAAAUAAGCAACCCAAAGUAGCGCUGGCCAGCCUUUUCAUGAAAGAGCAUCAUCAAGAUAAGAUUGAUAACAAAAUAGAUCUCAACCAAAGGUUCAGCGAUUACAAAUCAAGAUCUUCGUAUAACCCCGAUGACAAAUAGAGGUAUUACCCCCAUGAUCUUACACAUGUUGAUGAAUUUUAGGGUAAAGGACACCCUGUAGAUCAACUGGACCAAAGAUGAUGAUGAACGGGGGCAGGGAAGGCCCAGGUUGAUCAGCCUGCGCACUUUUGAGCCGAUCAGCUCAGGGGGUUUCCUCCUCCCCUGGUGCUCCUCUUCGCGUGGCCUCCUCUGGAUCCAAUCUUCUCUUCAUUUCUCCUACUUGUGGCGGCAAUGGAUGGUGUUUGCAUGGUGAUUUCCUCUUCUCCCCAACUCUCCCUCCUUGAAGUCCAUGAGGGGGUAUUAAUAGUCUCCAAUAGGCGGCAGCUCUGGGUCAAUGUCAGUGAAAAAAUCCUAGAGAUCAUCGUACACUUCAUGCUGAGGAAACAAGAGGUUGACCGAGCCCUGGGAUAGACCAAGAGGAUCAUCCUAGAGGGUCCCAGGCUAAUCGGUCUAGGCCCUUCCUAGCCCUUCUAGUCCUCUCCUUCCUCGUGCUGGCUUUUCUCGAUGACCCUUGUCCAAAUAUCCAUGAAGCUCUAUAUACAUACCCCCUUGAUUAUGUUGUAUUUCCUGUCAAAAUACAAUGCUCCAAAAUACAACACAUAUGCAAUAAUAGGGUUAUUUCAGGUGCCAAUUGGUGGGUUAGUAUACGAAUAAGCAUGAAAAUACUGUUUAAAUGACACUAAAAGUGUGUCAAUAACGAGCACCAACAAUCCCCCCACGCUUAGAUCUUGCUCGUCCUCGAGCAAGUCUAGCGACUAAAAGAUCUUGAAUUAAACCUGAGCAAGCGAGUCAAGUACCUAGCCUUGAAACAAAAGAUUAGAGGAGCAGCAAAGAUAAUCAAAGUCUGGGUGUUCAAAGAUUUAUCUAAGCAAAGAUUCCCCUACAACUAUUAUUCAGAACCAAGUAACUUCAAAAAUCAACUACACUUAUUUUCUGGCUUUUUUCAGAGGGUUUUUCUUUCAUCAUAAAACAAUCUCCCUGCAACAAAAUUGAAAAAAGAAUUAUUUUCAAGGUGCUUACAUGUCGCUUAAAUGAAUGUUGGCUAUCCUACUUAUUUGCAAGCUCUCAUCUCUCAAAAUUCAUUCAAUUAUAUGGUGGAGUUUGGGUAAGGUUAGCUAGAAUCAACACGUAUAUUAUUGAAUUAAGAAAACCCUCUAACGGUGGCCUACCUUCCGAGCCAUUGAUCAUAAGAAUAUCCACAUAAUGUGAAGUUUUCAAGGAUGAGAAGAUAUAGAAUGGUGGACAUGUGCAAAGGCAAAGAAAUAUAGUGACUCUGAGGCACAAGCAAUGUCCUCGUCGUUGGAUUGCAUAUGGUUGUAAUGAAAAUAUGUUCCUUAAACAAGUCUAUCUUUUCUUUGCACCACUCUUGAUCUUCAUGACAGUAAAAACUCCUCCUUUAUUUCUUUCUCUCUUUUCCUAUUAUUUCUUUUUAUUUGUCUCAAUACUUUUAUUUCUUUAUUUCUUUAUUUUAAUCUCUUCUCUGAACCUCUUCUGAACACCACAUAAUAAAAAUAAGUUUUAGAUCCUUCCAGAGACCUUCCAGGAAUUUGCUACAUGAAAACCGAGGCAAGGAGACCCCAGGCCGAUUGGCCUAGCCACUCCUUUGCUCUCCUCUAGCUCUUCUUUCUGGUGAAGCUUCCUUAUCUUGUAUCUUUCCAAAAAUUUCAUAAAGCUCGACUAGAAACGGAACAGAUCUUCAUAUAAUGAGUUGUGUUCAAGGAAUUGGUAAUAAAAUUGAGAAAUUUGUGGUUCGGGUUUACGAAUUCAGUACAAAAAUAUGAUUGUUCCAAUGAAGAACUCUCAUUACUGAAUAUUGACGAGGCAAGCAUUCAAAGAUGGUAAAAAGGAUAUGAUCAAUUCUCAAAAUUAAAGCAAACCAAGAGAGAGCGAUCCUAAUUCAAUUCAAAGUGUCAAAUGUUGCUUAUGGUGGUAUGAAUAAAUAUUUUUAGGCAUUGGGUAGGAUAAAUAAAAACUCUCAACCUGGUUAAAAGAUAUUGAUCAAUCUUGUUUUUGCAGAGGUUUUAAAUAAAAAAUAAAAUUUUAAAUCACCUCCAAUUCAAAGCCUUACUCAUAAAUCAUAAUCAAAACUGAAGCACUUGAUCAUCAUAAAGCAUGGGUAUUGCAUAAACAAAUCGAUUACUAAAACUCCACAACUACGAUUUAGAAUUCAAGACAAUGCUCAUAAUCUAAAGUUGCAAAGAUAAAAUAAAAGACAACCAAGCCAAGGUAGACACUAAAAACACUUGCACGAUCCUUGAAUUUUAUUCAUGCUUCUUCUCACAAAGACGCUAAAGUAGCCAUGUAGGCCUAAGUCUUCCCAAAAGCUUAAGAAAACUACUACUUUAUCUACUUUUGGUUGAAAUAAAAAGACUAAUCUAGACUCUCACAUGAUUCGACUCGACCAAAUUAGAUCCAAAAACUCAUACGAGCGACGAUCUCCCCCCCCUCACGCUUAAAAUCUACGACCUCCUCGUCGUAGCCAUAUGGAGUACAAGGAAAAGAAGCUUGUAAACGCUCUAAUGACGCUACCCGCACUACUUGCACACGGGAUGGUUGCUGCUUCCUUCGCUUUGUUCUUCCUCAUGUUGCUGCACAUCCCGAAGAGCUUCCUCACGUUCCUCUGCAAGAACUUGAACUCGUCCUCCUGACGGCGAUCAUUAUCUUCUGCCUUUUGAUCCAGAGCUUGUAAGGCUUGCAUGAUGUCAUCGAACGCAUCGAAGAGGUAGUGGAUGUUCUUCCUGCAAGCUGUGGAACAUGUACGAUCAUGCUCCUCCGAUUCUGGCCCGUCGUCUUCUAGAUCCUUCUCUUUGCCCUUGUCUUGACGGUGGCUAUCUUGCUCCUUGCUCGCCUUCUUGCCUUCAGCCCAAUCCCAGUACGUGUUGUCAUCUUCUUCAUCGUCACGGCCUGCAGCACCCUAUGAUCCAUUGUCUAUCUUGUAUGAAAGAAUCAGAAGCUUGUUCUCCUCAGGGUGUCUUGCGCGGUGCAGCGUUUGCAAGUGCAAGACUUGCUAGUUCCUUUUACACAUUGUAAUGUUCAUUGCAUGCUCUAAUUGUUCUACAUUUGUAAUUUCUUGGUGAAGUUUGGUUACUGAUCCACUGUUUGAUUAACUCUUGGGCCCAAACACUGUACUACUUCUGAUUAGAUAUCUGUAUCUUGACUUUGACCAAAAAAAAUAUCCGGCAGUUUUUGCCAUUAAAGUUUCAUAAAUCAUCUUGCAAAAAUCGUACUAUACAACAAGGGACGGUUUAUUAUAAAAUAUACGUUCCCCUUAUCACAUGCCACUUCCACUCAAAAGGCAACGAAUCAGUUUUCAAUCCUGAGUGAGCAAUUUGCUUUUAUUACCGAUGCCUCCUAUUCCCUUGUGCACCAAGUUUAUUUUGGAUAGGGCUGCAAAAAACGACUAACCAGCUCGGAUUCUCCACCUGCAAAACCGCAUCUGCAGCAACCAACCCCACGCGGUGGAAAAAAAAACAAAACCUAGAAACCGGACGGGGGUGGAUGUGGGGCUCGGAGCCCAAGCAAAAAACGGAUCGGGAGCGCCGGAGCAGGCCAUCACCGGAUGUUAGAGAUAGAAAAUGGUUGAAGUUUGGAGUGGAAAUCAAACAAGCCUUGGAGCAAAGGAAAAAAAAAGAUCAAACCACUCAAGCAUUCAUUUGAUUUAGAAAAGAGAACAUUUGUUAAGGUGGGGAGUUGAAAUCAUCUUUUAAUUAGUUCCACGUAUCUGGUAUCAUUACAGUUGGUUUACUUGUGUAAGUAUAAGUAGCUCUGCCGAAGCCUUUGCUCCUAUAAUUUAGUAACUAGUACAAAUGGAUCAAUAGGAAAAUCAAGUUGCAAUCAUUUCUCAGCCAACCAAACCUAUGUAAAUCAAAUUAUUGUCCAUGCCCGGCAUGCACAGGUGCCUGCCAUGCAUGCAUUGUUGCUCCAUUGUAAUAACCAUUAUUGUCCAUCGAUGUUGCAGCGCAUGUGUGCACUGUGCAGACACCAAGCAUCGAGAUUAUGUACUAGUAAGGUGUUGAAAUAAUGGGCCUAGCCCAUAAGUAAUUUCAGAAUUUCAAAUAAAUCUCAAAGGCCCAUGUGGGCAAGAGGUGGAGUGGUGCAAGUCUUUAGUCCCACAUUGCUAGUCGAGGGGAGGGAUGACCAACUUAAAUAUGGAAGUUGUCUCCACUCCUCCAAGCUAUGUGUGAAGGGCGCGGGCGCGAGGCACUUGCGUGAAUGGUCCGCCGAAAUCUGGCCCCCCUUGCGGGGGCGCGGCUUCCUUUUGCCGUUUUAUUUUUUGGUUACUUGGUCGUUAAGUCAUGGAAUCCUAACCGGUUUAGAUCACGAUCGUGAAGGUUUUUGGGAAGCGCUCUGCGCGACUGCUCGAUCGCUUCUUCCGCUUCGUCAAGUUCUUCGUCGACUCCUUCACCACGGCUCGUCUACCUCUUCGUCGCUCGGGCCUCACUCGUCGUCGCGAACAACGUCAGGCUGCUGAUCGUCGUCGCCUGCUGUAUCCGGUAGUCGUCCAGGAGCCGGUUUUCAUCAAGAAAGAAACGUACGGUCUCUUAACUCACAUUAUGUCUUCCAUACUAGCUAUUAUGAUUGUUGCAGUCUGAUAGCUCUGGAUAGUAUGGUAGAAUGUCUGAUUCUAUUUGCAAUGAUAGACUUGUCUAGAUCUUGCGUAGACAUGUCUAGUUUAAUCUGCUGCUUGUUCAUCAUAUUCAUGAUUUAUUUCUGGAUUAAGUUAAAACUAAAAGUGCUUAUAUAUCCAACAUAAGGUACCAAGAACACGUGAAGCACCCGGGGGAGGCUGCUCCACUCCGCAUGCACAGGUGGGCACGGCACCACUACUCGUCUCCUUCAGGCUGAGGAUAAGUGAUGUACGCUGAUCAACAGACCACGACGGAACCAGCAAUAAUAGUUUCAGCCUGCCUCACAGUAAUUAAUAUAUCCUGUAUCCUCCGAGGACCCCUCCCCUUAAUCUUGGCCUAUUGCAUCCAAUAAUGAUAUGUGUGUUUAUCCAAAUUUACGGCACCUUUGGCGGGGGUUCCACCCAGCUCCGCCCUCUCCACCUUCGGUACUCCAUGGGAAACCAUUCCUUUGGAAUCAAGGAAGCUUGAACAGUAUAACGAAUAAAGUUUCAUAUAUCCAUUUGAUUUCACAUGAAAUAAAAUAUUCUGUCAGAACCAAUGGUUUCACUGAAGCUCCAGGCAGCGAGCGAAGGGGUGAGAGAGGAUAACGCUUACUGUGUGUUACCAUCGCGUGCACCAUGGAUGACCAACGCGCAGCCGAGAUGAAACGGCGGACCUAAACAGGUCCUCGCUAUUUUUGCAGGUUCUCGACCAGGCCAGUUCUUUAGGCCAACCUAUCAUUCACGAGUUAAACAUACGGUGGCUGGAGAAAUGUUCUAUUCUUUUAAACAAUACCAGCUGGUUCCUCCGUUUUUAUUCCACCAAUACAAGCACCACCUUGUAACAUUUCCUAUGUUUUUUUUCCUUUCGUCUGUUUUCUCACUACAUGCGUUGCUCUUUCAUGCAUUUUUUUCCAUUCCUGUAUUCCAAAUAGGUCUACAUGAACACAAAAUGAACUAGGGGACAGAAAAAGCCAGUGAAGUUAGUUUUGAGCUUCACCAGCUACUUGCUACAUAAAGUGUGCUAUAGUCGCAGAAAAGCUAAGCUGGAUCAGACGUGGCCGAAACAAUGCCAAAGAGCUAGGUCCCUAGCUGAUGGCAACACAUCAGAUGACUAGCCUGCUUUUCUGUAAUAAUGAUAUUGAGCAAUACACUGCAUGGCUAACCUGCUUUACAAUAAUUGUCAUUUUAUAAUAUUGGUCAUCACGAGAGAUGCACAUUGCAUACACCGGCCCAUCCCUAUAAAUAGCCAAGCCUUUCAGCCAUCUUGGGCACCUCCUCUCAGGGCCUCGUCUCACCAUCAGACAUCUCGUUCCCAGUUAUAAUUUGCGAGGUUAGAUCAGGCUGCGCCAUGGCGUCCGCAACUGCUGUCAAGAUCGUCGCCACCUUCAUGCUGGUGCUGACCAUGGGCCACCUGAUGGCCGAAGCAUCACCGCAGCCUCGGCGUGUGCUUGCAGAAACGGAGCAUGCUGCGGUGUCCGGGAAUCCUGGCCUCCCAGGUGAUGCUAGCGUCAUGCAGGUCCUCGAACCCGCCCUAGUUUCUCGGCUUGCCUGCAAACCAGAGUGCACAGUCCCUUGGCCUCCUUUUGUAUGUAUCUGCUAGAUCCUCUUCCUGGCUCAACGGAACUUCAGGGAAAUGGCUGUGACGUCGGCCAAAGAAUAAAUUGGAUGAACAUAAUAUACCCCGGGUAGUGUAGCUUGGGCUUUUGUUGAGCGUCUGGUGCUAGUUGUAUUUUGUUUGCUCAUGUGGCUUUGCUUCUGGUUGCAUAUUGGCUUUCCUAUCGCUCUCUGUUGCAGCUAUGGUUUCUGCCAGGUGUGUGUUAAUGCGGUUUGUAAGCGGUGCUUGUUCCUACCUUCUGUUUUCAAUAAAAGAAGUCGGAGUCUCCCUCCGACUCUUGUUAUCAGUCAACAAAAAUGAGUUGUAUCAUAUAUAUCUGCGUCUUUUUUCUACGUAUCUUUGGGCUGCUUCAGCUGGAAGUUUAUCGUAAGUACGUGUAUCAGGAUGAUCGUUUGAAUUAAAACGAAAUGAUAAUGUGUGGCUGCUAGAAAUGGAAUGAGCAUCUUACUAUAUUACUAAUUGGAAGCCUCCACGUGAAGCCACCUAGAAAUUCUAGGUGGACGUUUUAAAAAAAACAAAACUCAUAGAAGCCUCCACCACCUAGGAAUCCUAGGUGGACACUCUAAAAAGAGACAAAUCCUAGAAAUUCUAAAAAAAGAAAAAAAUAAUAACAAUAAGAUUUUUUUGCAGUCAAUUACAUAUAUUUUUUUGAGACACCGUGCUGCUAGCUCUUGCCAUUGCGACCAGUAAAGCAAGCAGAUAGUAAGAUGACAUGCGUGUGGAUUGAUUAAAACAAAUUCAGUUAGUUGAUUCUAAAUCGUAUGUAUCCUAAAAGGAAGAUAUGUGCGUGCAUGGUCCCUAGCGAUGACAUGUAGACAUGUAUUGCAAUUUCUUUUUUAAAAAACAUGUCUAUCUCUAAACCAACAAACAGAAAAAAUAUCAAUCUAAAUCUAAAUCUCUUCCGUUCUCACACGCCUAUUAAAGAGAAGACAACCAAUCCCAUCCAUGUUCCAUAGAAUCCAUCUAAAAGCUUGCUCACUGCGGACGGCAUUUGACGGCAAAUCAAUGAAAGAUCAUCCUCUCCAAAUAGCUGGACGGCAUCACCAUCUUUAUCUCACCAACCUACAGAGCUACAACGAUGUUGUAGAGAUCAACUAGGUAACCUACCAAUCACCCUCCCCUUUUCUAUAUGCUCUAAAGAACACGUGGAGUAAUUAUAGGCCUAUAGGAGCCGACUAACCUAGAUUAAUAUGAAAAAUAUUCCAAUAUUAAAAGCAAGCAGAUAGUAAUACUUGCCUUUGACCAUUUUUCUAGAACUGUUAUUCCUAUUGAAUGUUCAAGUGCUACGGCCAGGCAUCGAAUGCCUGCACGGAACCUUCCUAUUGAAUGGUUACUCUAGAGAUCAACGCACCGCGAGACAUUUUUAUGGAAUUUGUUUGAUUCCCCUUCUACAAUUAGAUUAAUUUUUCAUGGCAUAUAUUACUACUAUUAAAUUAUUUGUUUAUUGUCGGGCCUGCUGCAUGUGUGGUAUAUAUGACUUGCUUCUCACCAUUGUUCUCAAACUAUUAUUCCUAUCGAAUCUUUCUAUCGAAAUAUAUUUUAAUUACUUGAUUGUUGUUUGUGUACCAUAACUUCUGUAUAGAAAAAUUCCAUGUUUGUAGAUAAUGUCUUUUGUAUAGAAAAAUAGCCCAAUUAGAUCCAUCACCAUCUUUUGCUUAUGUAGUUGAACAAGUUGCAAUGUUGAACAAAACUUUAAGUGAAAUUAGACCAGGAAAAGGAAUUGUGGAACAUUAAGGCAAGGGUAACCAGAUUGUGGAAUGCAACCUUACUCAGUAGUGGCGAACAAUUAAGUCUUGACAUGAUCCUUAUUGAUCAAAAGGUAUGAUAGAUGUUCACUUUGAUUGCAUUAUUGGUAUAAUUUUUGGUUUACAAAUUAUUAAUGAUGAUGCAAAAUUAGGGAACCAUGAUCCACGGUGUUAUCAAUAAGCCCUAUAUGAAAAAGUUCAAACCAUUGAUUGAAGAAGGCAAUGUGUACAUAAUUGCAAAUGUCAGAAUCACACCAGAACCACAGAAGUAUCGGCCAGUGGAAAAUGACAGGAUAGUCAACUUCUUACCCACAACUGCACUAAAAACGAUCAAAGAUACUGAAGACAUUCCAAAGUAUAGUUUUAACUUCAUGAGCACGGAUAUGCUUUCAGCAAGAAUAAAUGUGGACAUGUACCUAUUAGGUAAAACAUUACUGGCUUUUCAAUUUUUACACUUCCACUCAUUAAAUGACCAUCUAAUAAUAAUACAUAUUUAUGUUUCAUAGAUGUUAUAGGUAUCUCAGCUCACAUUGGACCGAUAGAAGAAACAAGGACAAACUUCGGAUUUACUAAAAUCCGUGAUAUUGUGCUCCUGAUCGAGUAAUUCUCUUUUCUUUUGUAGAAAACAACUACAAAACUUUCAACAUUUACAUGUAUGUUAUAGAACUUCUGUUGAACUAAAAAAUAUCUUCUACAGUGCCCCUACAAAUAAUUAAUUUCGUAGUUGGAUAUUUAAAAUAUUUAUUAUUCACUUUUAAAUUUGUGGCCAUGAAGUUAAAGUUAGAUUUUGGGGAGACAAAGUUGAGGAAGUUGAUGAUAAGACAAAAUCCCAUGUCAUUGCAAUAACAUCUACAACUGUGAGUAAAUUUGGCAGUAAGUCUUCAUUCAAUAUGAGUUAUUCAAUAUUAGUCAUUCAACAAACUAACCUCGUAAGAAAAAUAAAUAAUUGAUGUUUUAUCAGGGUAUUCUCUAUCGUCAACCAAUGCAACAAAACUUUAUGUAGAUCUACCUAUUCCUGAAACUAAGGAUGCACAUGAUAGGUGAGAAAAAUUAGAUAUUGUUUUUCUAUUUUAAUCUAUGUAGCAUGCACUCUAACAUGAUACAUUCUUUCAUAUGAUAAAAAAAUGUUAGUUCAAUUGAAAAUAUUGUCAAAGAGAUUCAUAUUGAGGACCAUCUAAAAGGGACAUUGGAAGACCAAAUGCAGUACAAUAGAAGAACUUUAGAAGAAUUAAAUUUCAUAUUAUUUGAAACAUCAAAUCAGGUAUGGAUUAGUAUGUUCAUUGUACACUAUACUAUUUAAAGACUUACAUACAUAAUGAUGGUAUUGUUCCUACUUUCAGGAUGAGGUAUUUACUAUUGAAGCAACAAUAAAUGAAAUUAAUGCAACAUAUGGUUGGUUGUCACACCCGAUUUUAAGGACAAAAUUGAGUGCAUUAAAUACAUGUGCACCAGGAUCAAGUUACACACAUCCUAUGAGUACCGUCCUUCUUUGGCACAAAGAUAACCGGUGCUCCCCAUGGUGAUGAACUAGGCCGAAUAAACUAUUUUGCUGAUAAUUCCUCUAGUUGUUGUUUCAAUUCUUUUAAUUGUUCAACCAACAUUCUAUAAGGACGUUUGGAGAUAGGUGCAGUACCAGGUAAAAGAUCAAUAGCAAAUUCAAUGUCGCGGUCAGGUGGCAUACCUGGUAAAUCGUCGGGGAACACAUCCGGAUAGUCACACACCACUUUGAUAUCUUCCAAGGAUUUUCCAGCCAACUGAUUAACUGCACAAUCUGCUGCUGAGGGUAGAGUAGCUACAAACUCCACUUUCUCUCCAUCAGGACCUGUUAGCAGAACUGUCCUCUUGGCACACUGAAUCGUUGCAUCAAAAGCGGCUAACCACCUCAUCCCCAGAAUUACAUCGAUUCCACUGGACUCAAGGACGAUAAGAUCAGCCGGAAACUCUAUACCCAUUAUUCUCAGUUUAACUUGUGGACAGAUGUAUUGAGCCUUCAUUGACCCCCCAGGUGAACUCACUAGCAUAUGACGCCUCAUGGUAUGCAUGGGUAAAUUAUGCUUUGCUACAUAAUGACUAGUGACAAAAGAAUGCGAUGCUCCAGAGUCAAAUAAAACUGAUGCGGGGGCAGAGUUGACAAAGAACAUACCAAGCACUACAUCUGGAGCCUCCUUAGCAGUCUCGGCUUCCAUGUGGUUCACCUUGCCACAAACAAAGCUUUGCUGCCCCUGAUUGCCUUGUGGGGUCUGGUUCCCAUUCCUCGGUUGCUGCAUCUGAUUCUGCCGAGGAGCACUGCUGUUCUGCACGGGGGUAGCUGGCCCACCUCUCUUAGGACAAGAGCUGGCAUAGUGACCAACCUCGCCACACUUGAAGCAGGUAGGACCCACUGGAGCAUUGGGCCUUGUUGGAGUGCCAGUAGGGGUCAUCUGGCGGUUCUGCGUAAAGCUUGGGCGCGGAGUCUGCAUAGUCUGCAUCCCUGGAUGCUGGAACUGAGGGCUAGGGCGCUGGAAUGACUGCUGAGCAGGGCGCGGAAAUGAGUGCUGCCAAAAAUUCCCACUCGGGCCCCCUGCGCGGAACGGCGUCCCUUGCUGUGGAGCAAAGCGAGGGCGGGUGUUGCUUCCUGAAGACUACUGGGAAUUGAAUUUCCUCUUCAUCUCCCCGAGCUCGUUCCUCUUGUGUUCCAGGCCAAUUGCCUUGUCUAGCAUCUUCUGGAAACUGGGGAAGGUGUGCGACAUAAGCUGAUAUUGGAGUGGUCCAAUCAACCCAUCCAAGAAUAGCUCCUGCUUCUGCUCAUCAUCAGCAACAUCUUCGGGAGCAUAUCGGGACAACUGGACAAACUUGUCCCUGUACUCUGCCACUGUCAUGUUCCCCUGCUUGAGAGCAAGGAACUCCUUCUUCUUAAGCUUCAUCAAUCCGGAAGGAAUAUGAUGACUUCUGAAGCUAGUCCUGAAUUCAUCCCAGGUGAUGCCAUUAGCAUUGGCAUGGGUGGUGGUGUAAGCAUCCCACCAAUCAGCAGCUGGCCCUUCCAGGCGUCCUGAAGCAUACAGGACCUUCUCCCUGUCAGUACAUUGGGCGAUAUCCAGCAUCUUCUCCACUGUUUUCAGCCAAUCAUCAGCAUCUAAUGGAUCCGGAGAAUGUGAAAACGUCGGGGGCUUGUGGCUCAUGAACUCCCUAUGCCUGUCCCUUGGCGGCGGCUGCUGCUGGUUGUUGUUGUUGUUAUUGUUCAGCUGAGCUUGUAAAGCUGCCACGGUGUUGGUCAGUCCGGCGAGAAGCUGAGUCUGAGCUGCUAGAAACUGCUCCAUCCCUGCAGGUGCUUGUUGGUUCUGUUGCGGAGCGGUGUUGGGAUUGCUGCUGUUGUCCCUGUGGCGUGGCACUGUGGGACGGUCAACUCCUGAUCCGGACCUGGUGUUUACCAUCUGAGCGUUAGAGACAAUGGAUUUAGAUAGAUGUGUGAAAGAAUAACUGAGAAAGAUAAAGCGACCAGAUGUAAAAGUAACACAGAUUCUGUUAGCUCCAUUUAAUUAGGUGUGGUCGUCAGAAGAAGUGUCCAUAAAUUCUGAACAAUUACCAAGUCGUAACUUAUUAAAUUUGUAAACCAACCCAACUGGAAUCAUCUCAAUCGGACUUCUGGAUCUCGAGUUACAAAAUUAACAAGCUGACAGUGUCGGUCGAUAGGUUCAGAUUCUGAGUGCUUUACUAAUUCGCAUACACCUCCCAGACAGAUACACCAAAAAUUCUGAAAAAUUUACAGAUAGUACUCCACGAAAUUCUGAAACUAACCCCACUGGUUUCAUGUCAUUUGGACUUCUGUAGCUAGAGAUAUAAAUAAAAAAGUACUGGCGUGUCAGUUAAUGUCGAGAACAGAAUUGAAUGUCGCUUAGCUUGCGUGAUGGAUAGAUUUAGACAGAUGGUAGAUCAUGAUUAAGGAAGAUUAAAUACUGAUUUAGAACAGAAAUAAAACCCAACUAAGCACUUUAUUUAUUAAGACCAGUAUCGUGUGGCAAUUGCCCCACAUACCGCACUCAUUACAAAAUCCAACUCAAACAUGUAGCACAAAACCAAUCAUCUAAGCACACUUUAACUAACACACUCGAACGACGUCUAACGAUUACAAGAAUUUAAACUAAAACACUCCUAAUUUCCUAGAGGUCUUCUGCGGCGGUGCCGGGCGAGUCGUAGCGGGGACGCUUAGGCGACGGCGACGAAGCGGGAUGAACAGCAAACUCCUGCGGCGGCGGUGCUCCCGUCGCGGCAGCCAUAUUCGCAUCCCUCUCCCACCGGAGUUCCUGAACCUCCUGUUGAAGCUCCUGGAUGUGGUUGUUUGCUUCAUUCAAUGCGGUGAGAGCUGCCGACGUGUACUUGCGGAGGAAGUCUGUAGCCAUGUCAACCCCAUCGUUAGUAGCGAUGAAGGUUCUUGCUUCCCCACUAGCUCGGUAAGGAAGGAACCGAUGGUAAGUGUGCUGCAAUCGCGGCCGUUCCUUGUGGGAGACGACCUCAAGUGCCCUCCUGGCGGCCUCGGCAAUGCCGGAUUCCAUGGUCCUCCUUAUGGUCACAUCAUGGUGAAAAGCCUUCACCUCCCAUCCUCCCUCGUGCUCCUCACGAAGGACAACCUUCACCUCCCAAAAAGUGGGAUAGCGAGGGUGGGUGAACCGGGAGCACUUGUAGAGUGGCCUCAUGCCGUACCCCAAGCGGUGACAAGUCCACCUGAGUAUGUCGGCCAUGUGCACUCCUUGGCCAUAAUCUUCCUUCACCCAUUUGAUCCAUGUCUCGGGCUCGGGAUCUGCUUCGGGCUCAUCAUCCGUCAAGUCGACGACCGGUACGGGCGUCGGGGCUGGUGCAGGAGCGGGCGCCGGUGCUGGCGACGGUGCUGGUGACGGCGUGGUCUCCUGCUCCACGGUCACGGCGUCCCCGUCAGAGUCAUCCCCCGGAUGCUGGAAGAUCUCUUCCUCUUCUUCCUCGUCCCAAGGCUCCAUGGGGGCGUACGACGGCGCGAUGCCAUGACGCGGCGGACGGGUGCUCUUGCGUGCGGUCAACCGGGUGCGAGCCAUCUAACAGAAAGAAAGAAGAAAAUUUUAGAAUAAAAUUUUGAACAAAGCUAGAUAAUAAAAUAGCAAUAAGGAUGAGACAAAUCAAGUUUAAGAAUAAUUAAGUAGAUUUAAAUUAAGAAAGGUAGGAAUGGCUACUAGAUUAUUAUAAUCCUUAAAUACGACCAUUUUCUAACUAGGCUAACGUCCUACAGUCAACACGGCUCUGGUACCACUUUUGUCACACCCGAUUUUAAGGACAAAAUCGAGUGCAUUAAAUACAUGUGCGCCAGGAUCAAGUUACACACAUGUACGACAAUAGUGAAUAGUAAAGCCAGUGCUAAAUCGAAUAAAGAGAGUAUUAACCAUUAUUACAUGACCGAAUGUCUCAAAUAAACCACAAAGUCUAAUUAUUACGCAGCGGAACUCCAAAGAUGACGACGACUCCAUAGGCAGCUGACUGAAGAAACGUACGCCUAGAACUCCUCGAAGUCGUGGAAGUACUCCUCUUCCCAAUUAACUUGGUCUGAACAGCGGUUUUGCAAGGGUGAGUACACUUAUGGUUGGUACUCAACAAGUCGUGGGAAGUAGUGUAGUGUAAGGCUAAUUCAAGGUAUGGCUAAGGCGUAAAUAGCAUUCGCUUUUAAUUAAGUUGGUCAAAUUUUAUUAGCAUUUACUAAGUAUAAGUUCAUACCACCCGAAAUUAAACAUGAACAUAAAGUAAACCACAUGUGCAUGAAAUGAUAACAAAUUAAAUCCAUCUUCCGAUAAUAUUAUCAUGUGAGGGUCCAGGCCGCUCUUAACCGUGAGCACGGCUGAUUGAUCAGUUUAACACUCUGCAGAGGUGGCACAUCUUUACCCACAAGUCGCGUAAAAGUUCAAAAGAACUUUGGACCCAACCAUGCGGUGUUUGCAAGGCACCAUACCACACUUCCGAGGUGUGAUUGCAUAGGGACGCUACGAGGCCUUUACAAAGAUUCAUUAAUCAGUGGUAACCCGCUAAGGUUUCGGUGUCUGGCGUGCACCACCCAUCCCAGGUAAAAUGCAACGACUCAGUCCCCCCCCUUGAAUCAUCACGAGUAAGGUCACCCCAGACUAAGGUUUCUAAUUAAUCAGCCAAGACCAGAGCUAUUUAGUCUUGUGGUAGCACUGUUUUCCUGGGUGGUCGCUCCAUGUUCUGAUUAACAAAUAAUGAUCUUGUCUUAAUGAAAGGUAUAACAGAAAUAAGGCAAGAUUAAGCAUUGUUUUUAGUUAAACCACCAUGUACCAAGUAAGCACUAAGCAUGAGCUACCCAACAUAAAGUAAACCGGUUGGUCAAGGCAAAGGUAAAACAAUCUAGGCCAACCUUAAUUGGGACCCAUCAAUUUAAUCUUAAUAUGUGCACAGCAUAAAUGUUGAGUACGAGAAAGUAAAGGUGUAUAGGACAAAAAGGUAGUGAUCAAGGACACGACUUGCCUUCUUGGCCUUGCUCCUGCUGUUCGUACUCCUCGAAGGCUUGAUCGGCAACUCCCUCGAACUGCGGGGCGUCUACACGCAUCACACGAGCACAUACAAGCAAACAUGGGCAAAAGUAAGAAAACAGUAUACCAAACAUAGUCAAACAGAGAAAACAAGCUUGAAAAGAUGAUCUACGCUUUAAAACGAACACGCGGAUAUAAAGAACGCGAAAAACGGAGUUAAGAUGCAAAAGAUAUGAUUAAAACAAAAUCCAGGGACUUUUCUGUAAGAAAAACAAAACUUUUAGGGCCUAUCCGCGAAAACCGAGGGCUUAUACGUAAUUAUGCGUAUAAACCGAGGGUCUGAUGCGUAAAAACAUCAAACCCGGACGGCGGGUUGAUUUCUGGAAAGGUCAAGGGUUAAACCGAAAAAUGCGAGGGCAGAUCUGUAAAUACUUUCAACGCGAUCUGGACCGCGGGUUGAUUUGCGAAAAAGGCGGGGGCUAAAGUGCAAAAACUGCACGGCGCGGCUCGGUUGACCGGUACGCGAUCUUGAUUGACUCGCGUCCGGCCGUCGGAUUAAGAUCCGACGGUCGCGGUGAUCCGCGACAUCGCGGCGGCGGCGGCGAGCGGCGGCGAGCGGCGGCAAGCGGCGGCGGGUCGCCGGAGUUAGGCAAAAUAGCGCCACGAGGCACGGUUUAACGCGCGGGUUGCACCAAAAAAGAGAGGGGAACACGUCGAUCCCGUUUUGGGGGUUCUUGUCGACGGGGGCUCACCGGCGACGGCGAACGGCGGCGAGGAAGAGGCGGCGGCGCUAGGAGCUCGGGCGGCUAGGGUUUCGGGGAGCUGCGGCGCUGGUUUUGGGCGGAGGAGACUGGGAGGAGGCGGCGGCUUUUAUAGGGCUUGGAGAUAGAGCCGGCGCGGGUUCAAAUCCCCCGGAGGAGUCGGAGCGGAUGGAGUCCGGGGCGGAGACGGCGCGCGGCGGUUGCGGAGUUCUGACCGGAUUCGGCCGGAGGUGGGAGACGAUGGGUGGGGUCCACCCGUCAGUGGCGGAGGGGAGCGGUAGACGGGCCGGCGCGACCGUGGGCUGGCGCGCGCUCGUGGGCUGCGGGGAGCGGGAGAGAAGCGGCGAGCGGGCGCUGGCGGAGCAGGCCGAGCGGAGGUAGAGCUGGGCCGCGGAGAAAAAGGAGGAGGCCGGCGGGCUGCUUCGCAGGCCGGUAAGGAUGAGGCGGCCGGGCCGAAGAAGAAAAAGAAAAGGAGGGACAAGGAGCUUUCGGCCGAGGGAAAAGAAGAAGAAAAAGAAAAGGAAGAAGAAAAGGGAAAAGGUUUUGGAAUUUGAAUUUAAAUCUGAAAUUCAAAAUUUGAUUCAAACUCAAGCAACCAAAAAUUAUGCUCCAGCAUGAAUGCACAAAUAAUUCCUAUGAUGAAUUAAUUGAAUUAAAGAAAAUGAAUUUAAAUGCCUAGAAAUUAAAUAACACCCUAAUUUGAGCAAAUUUUAAUGAAUUUGAAUUAUUGAAAUUUUGGGUGUUACAUUGGUACUACAUCUCAUGUAGUAGAGGCGAUUGUAAGAAGCAACUUGAAAAGAAGUUUGAUCACUACUAUUGCAAUAAAUGUGACAAGAGAGCCGAACCUAAAGCCCAGUAAAUUAUUUAGUAGUUUACAAUCUUAUUAUAAUACUUCUAUUUCUAAUAGGAGAAUAAUAUUUUCAGAUUCAAAUUAAGCUUCAAAUAAGUGAUCCAACAACAAGUGCAACUUGUGUACUUUUGACAAGGAAGCAGAAAUGAUAAUUAAUGAAUGAGCAGAUUCGAUGAUCACCUCAGUUGAUCAUGAUAAUAAGUAGCUACCAAAAUCAAUUCAGGAAAUAUGUGAAGAAACAUUGAUUUCUCAAUUCAGAUUGACCGAGUACAACUUGACAAGUUUUAGACCUGAUUAUACUGUUUCAAAGAUAUUUUUUCCAAAAGAAAAGGGCAGUUCAAGAAUUGGUAUGGAAAGUGUAAAAAAGGUAACACUUUAUUAUUAAUUUUUUAUUGCACUUUUUUCUUUUGAAUCCGUAAUACUUAAUAAUUUUACUAUAUCAAUGAAACAAAUUCUAACCUAAAUUUAUUUUCUUUUUUAUUAUUUGUAGGAAGUAGAAGACAACUCAGACAAAUGCUACACGAUAACUACCGAGAAUGAAGAGGUAGACACUGAUGACUCUUUUACCGAGAAAGUAACAUUCGUAGAAGAAGCCAUAAGGACUGGGGAAAGAUUGGCUAGAAAAGUAUACUCACUUCCAUGUCAGUGUUCAUUCUAUUUACAAUACAUGCAAAAAAAAUAUUAUUCAUGCAAAAUUGCAGGUCUACUAAGCAUUAAAGGAAUAGCGGAUAGUGCAAUAUGUAAUCUGAGCAGCAUGCAUUACAAAGUGCUCUACUGCAAUUAAAUUAAAAAACAUGAUAUAUGUUGAAUUCUUAGACUUUAUUAUUAUACUUUUCUACGUGACAAUUCACAAUUUUUUAGAAAAAAGAAGAUCCCAGAAGAAGUGACCAUGAAAAAAGGUCUAUGACCAGCAAUAAGAAAAAAUGCAAGCAUAGAAACAAAUCCGUAGAAAACAUAGAAAAUAAGGUACUCCAUAAACAAAAGUAUUCUCUUAUAUUUUUAUUAAAUAUUUUUUUAACACUUGACAAGUUCUUUUUUAGGAUCAAUAUAUCAGCAAUUCAGAUGUCAUUGGAGAUGAAACCUUAGUUCAUCCAAAAGGUCAAAAAAAAACAUCUGAAGAAAGGUGUUUGGCUGAAAAGGAAAAGCAAAAAAGUGGUAAUGCAGACAAACACAUGCAGAAAAAUAUAAAAACAUGUCAUAGGGAGGCAGACCAAUCUUGCAAGGAGGUAUAGACGAAACGUGAUACACGACCUGCCUACCUUGUCGUGGAUACCCCAAGAAGAUGUCAUAGAGGUGCAGACCAAGCUAGCAAGGAGGUCGAAACGUGAUACACGGCCUGCCUACCUUGCCGUGGAUAUUAGCCCUGAGAUCAUUCUACUGUUCAAGGAAUAACACUCAAUGCUGCUGCUGCUGCUGACCUGGCUCCAUAAAGUUAUACUCCUCUAGGUGCUUGCACUAACUUUAUCUGAAGUAUUAUUCUCUCUGCACUGUAUAUAUGGUUAUGGAGUUUGCUGGAGUAUCCGGGGCGAAGAACCUACAUAAUACGUCUUGGAACUAAUUGACAUUGAUUCACAGACAAACUCUACAAGGUGCUGUUCUUGCCAUUUUAGAGCAUCCAAAGGACUAUAAAUAACAUAGUUUACCAUAUACCAUAUACCAUAUACCAUAAUAUGUUAGCUAAAAUAAGAGCAUACACAUGUUGCAGGAGUCCAAAAGCACCGGUUGAGGACCAGGUACAUUGAAUUACUAGAAAAAGACAGGGGACAAGGUUUAGGUAACCACAUGAAACAUUUGAAUUUAUUGUACUAUGAACACUUAGUUACCAUGCCAGGAGCACAUAGUUAACACUAACAUUUAGCCACUUUAGAUCAUCCCGAAUCACCAAUGACCCUCAAUAGUGACAAAUUUUGGUUUAAAUGCCAUCACCAAUGAUCCUCAAUAGUGACGUAUUUAGGUUUAAAUCCCGUCACUAAUAACCCUCAAUAGUGACCUGUUUUGGUUUAAAUCUCAUUACCACUGAUCCUCAAUAGUGAUGUGUUUUAGCAAAACAUGUUAUCAAUGACUUGUCAUUGGUGACGUGUUAAAACGCGUUAUCUCAAUGGCAAAUCAUUGGUGACGUGUUAUCUCAAUGUUAUCAAUGUUCUAUUCUUUUCAACAAUACCAGCUCGUUCCUCCGUUUUUAUUCCACCAAUACAAGCACCACCUUGUAACAUUUCCUAUGUUUUUUUUCCUUUUGUCUGUUUUCUCACUACAUGCGUUGCUCUUUCAUGCAUUUUUUUCCAUUCCUGUAUUCCAAAUAGGUCUACAUGAACACAAAAUGAACUAGGGGACAGAAAAAGCCAGUGAAGCCAAUUUUGAGCUUCACCAGCUACUUGCUACAUAAAGUGUGCUAUAGUGACGUGUUUUAGCAAAACAUGUUAUCAAUGACUUGUCAUUGGUGACGUGUUAAAACGCGUUAUCUCACUGGCAAAUCAUUGGUGACGUGUUUUAAAAAAACAUGUCACCGUGAGAGUCAUUGGUGAAGGGUAAUUAAAAUGCGUCACUAAUGUUGUAGCAUUAGUUAUGAUAAUUUAGUAACGCAAAAAUCUACCAUCAGUAUUGAGCUUUAGAGCCAUCGCUAAUGUGGGUUUCUUACAUAGUGAUGCAAGCUCUACAAGGUGCUGUUGCUGCCAUUUUAAAGCAUCCCAUGACUACAUGUUAAUAACAUAGUUUACCAUAUAUCAUAAAAAUAUUAGUUACAAUAAGCACAUACGCAUGUGGAAGAGUCCGAAUGCACCGGUUGAGGACUAAACACAUUGAAUUACUAGAACCAAAUGUAUGUUUAGAACAAAGACAGGGGUCAAGGUUUGGGUAACCGCAUUAAAAACAUUGGAUUUUACUGUACAUGAACACUUAGUUACCAUUACCAUGCCUUGAGCACCUAGUUACAACAAACAUUAAUUUAGCCACUUUAGAGCUUCCAGAAUCGCUAUAAAUAAUAUACCUACGCCGUACCAUGAAAACAUCAAGAAGAGAGACGGAUACAUGGACCACCAUCAAGCGAGUAGUGACAGCACGCACAAGAAUACCCGGAACCUGUUAGCUUGUCUGUAGUGAUCUGUUUUCUUCCCCAUAAAAUCCAUGAGUAUUGCCACAAAUAAUGAAAGAGGCUGACCAAGCUAGCAAGGAGGUAGAGCAAACGUGAUACACGGCCUGCCAAGAUUGCCCUGGAUACGCCAAUAAGAGCGACAGAUACAUGGAUCACACCAAUAUGGUGAAACGUAUAUUCAUCACACAAGCAAAGCUGGUCAGUUUAUCCAUGGUCAAAUUGUGGUCUUUGUUUUCACUUGAGAGCUAAUUGAGGCACUAUAAUAUGGGCAGGCCUAUCUUCAACAGACAUGACAGCUACAGGGAACUUGACAUAAUUUGCUGGGCCGCCUGUGCACAAUUAUUUGUUUUAUUGUCCUUGCAUAGAAUGCUAAAAUACUCUUUACAAAAUGUUGGAUCUAAUAUUUGAAAUAUAGAGUAGUAAUCAUAUAUUGAUCAACAACUUGAAAUUAUCUGUACAUUCUCGGUGAAGCUGUUGAACUAAUUUUUGCAAAUUAUUAAUUCAUCUCAUUACGUAAAGAAAAAAGUAAGUGGAUAAGAUAUUUCGUGGACCACAUCACUGCAAACAUGUCAUGGAGAGACAGACCAAGGAGGCAGGACGUGAUACACGACUUACCCUAGGUUGCCGUGGAACCGCCAAGAAGAGAUACAGAUACAUGGACCACACCAUCUUGGGAGUAGUGACAGCAUAUAUGCAGAAGAAUACCCCGUGCCUAUUUGCAUGCAUGUCUCAAGUGAUCUGUUUUCUUCAGAAAAUACAUGAGCAUUGCCAGAAAGAAUGGCAAGAGACAAACAUGUCAUAGAGACUUGCAUGUCUUGCCUUGGAUACGCCAAGAAGAGGGACACAUACAUGGAUAACACAAAUCUAGUGACACGUAUAUUCAUCACAAAGGCAAAUCUGAUAAUUUUAUCCAUGGAGCAGACCAAGGAGAAAUUGAUGACGGACAUGUGAUCUCUGUAUUCAGUUGAAAGCUAAUUGAGCUACACUAAUAUGAGCAGGACUAUAUUCAAGAGACUUGUUGAGAGCUACAGGGAACUUGUAAUAAUUUGCUGGGCGGCCUGCGCACAAUGAUUUGUUAUACAUAGUUGAAAUAUUUCAAGAAUUUAUCAACCUCAUACUCUGAAACCCUUGGUGCAAUGUACUCUGCUUUCCGAGGUAGACUGUUCACGUAAAAUGAGGUCAUGCGUAAGACGGAAUCGGAUUGGAUUCACAGGGAAUCAGAUUUGGAUAGCACCUUUUAGCAGGUUUUUAGUCAAAUGCAAAUUCGGAUCCACAUGUGGUUGAAUGCGAGUUCAAAAUUCUACUUGGAUAUCCAUUUAAUUUAGGUGAUAGCAAUUAGCACAAAAUGUUGGAUGAACAAAAUCAUAGUUAGACAUACAAUUACAUGUAUGGUUAAAGUAUAAUACAAUACACCAAGAUUAUUCCUUGAAAAUAUUUCUUAAAAAUAUUAUAAUAAAUGAAUAAAUAUAAUUGUGGCCACCAACAAAUAGUCGGUGGUCGCUAAGUUGGAGCCAUUUCUGGUUACUAAUGCGGCCUUCUCCUCGACCAGCGACGACAGCUGAGCUUGUUCCUUCUGACACUAAAUCAUCAGAGUCUUCCCUCCACUACUAUAGAAUGCACCUUUAGCACCAAUUGGGAAAUCCCCUUCAGUAUUGGAUGCUGCAACCAGUGCUAUAUAUCAAAAUGGAGACUAAAAGCCUCGGUCUUGGGUACCGGUUGCAUAACGCAUUACUAAAGGAGGCAAAAGAGAAAUGUAACAAAAAAAAUAUUUUGAAUUCCAAGAAUGUUUCACUAUUCAAGAUGACUAGCUGAGAGUCAACAGACAAGAUACUAGGAAUGUGGGUGCUUGAAUGCAUUUGUACAGAGGUCAUACUAUUUACAAACUCUUCUAUGUUUCCAUAUGACUACCUACUUCAAUGUCACGCGAGCCAUUCAGCUGGACACAUGGCACACUAGCUUGCAUGUCGAAUCCAUGAUUAAUUAUUUGCACUUGUGAUCUCUUACCAGUAUUUGUCCAGACUAGAAACGUGCAACACAUUUUUAGGAUAUGGACACGCAUAUAUUUGGACUAGUAUACAGGUCACCUUUGGAUGCGUACAAGGAUGACCGGGAGGGACUAAUGGAUACAAGGAAGGGACCAUCAGGAUUAAUAUUGACAUAUGCCACAUGACAAUCUUCAUUGUCAUGCAAUCCCUAUCAACAAUCAUGGAAUCCCUAGUGUACUAAUCCCUGGAGGGUUGUGUGGAAAUUUAUUUUACCUUGCGGUGAAAAUCUCAUGAGCAGUCAUUAGUUAAGCUGACUAGCUGAGAUAUAAUAGACAAGCUAGUAAGAUUGGGAGCAUCAAUGCAUCCAUACAGGGUCACAAUAUCCUUUCCAUUCACUUUUAUAUAUAACCCUACGAAUACAAGUCCAACGAAAUGCGGGCCUUUCGAUCAAGAUAAAUUAAAUGGCCCACUUGUAUUUCUAAUCCAGGAUUAACUAUGCCCUCUGUUCAUCUCUUGCAAGCACGUGCAACACAUUUUCACGAUAUGGACAUGCAUGGAGGUUAUUAUACUGUUUGGACAAACUCUGAUGUGCCAUGACCUAAAUGCUUAGGGCCUGUUUGGUUUGAGUUGCUUAUUAUAAGCAACUUAAAGUUGCUUAAAGUUGCUUAUUUGAAGUUGCUUAUUUUUAGUCUAAACUGUUUGGAUACCCUUGCUUAUGAGCAUUGAAUGAGUUGGACAUUGUCAAAUUUGCCCCAUGUGUUGCUACCCCUCCAAUUUGCCUCCCCACCCUUCUUCUUCCUGCACACGUCCGAUCCCGGGGGCCGACGGCGGGCAGGGAGCAGCAGCAGCUGGCCAGGGCGGCGGUGGGGCGGGAGCGGCGGCGCACACCAGCACGCGCUCGCACGCCAGGUGCUAGGGCGCGGCGAGGCAGUCGUCGUAGCCCACCGGGAGCGGGUGCUCGGGCGCGAGGCGGUACUCGACGGAGAUGCCGAGCGUCGGGCGCGCGGCGGCGAGCGCGUUGAGGAAGCGAUGGUAGUGCGGCGACGUCGCGGACUCCGCCACGAAGCCGCCGCCGUGGACGUACACCACCACGGGCAGCUUCGUCUUGCCGUCGGCGGCCGCGGCCGCGGCCUGGGGUGGCAGGUAGAGGCGGACGGAGCAGGAGCCGAGGUCGACGUCCCUGGAGUCGACGCCCGUGGCGGCGUCCAGGCUGGGCCCGACCGGCGGCGGCACGAGCGGGCGCUCGAUGCGGCCGCUCUUGUAAAUCCGACGGGUCUGUGCGGAGGCGGGCGGCGGGCGGGAGCGGCGGGUGGGAGCGGCGGCAGGUGGUGCGGAGGCCGGCGGCGGCGGGUGGCGCGGAGGAAGGGGAGCUGGUGAGUGGUGACAGGGGAGGGGGGGAGAGAGAGGGGGGGUAGGGUGCAUUGAAUGAGGGCAGGAGGUGUAAAGUGCACCUUUUAGUCCCCAUGAGCAACCAUAAGCAGCCCAAGAGUUGCUUAUUUGCUUAUAAUAAGCAACCUCAUAAGCAAGAGUGAUUGGUUUCAUAAGCAACUUAUUUGCUUAUUUUAAGUUGCUUAUGCAUAAGCAUGUGAAACCAAGCAGGUCCUUAACCUAUGGUUGUGGCACCACACAGUACAUAGUAUUUAAUAAUGCUAUUCGUUUGGUAUGUGCACAAGGGCACGCAUGAAAUGUCUGGCCCACGGUAAACAAGUACGGACGCUGCAAAUAAUCUACUCUGCUCGUCCAGUCCCUAGCCUAUAAAUAGAUGCCAUGCUAGCUCUUGUUGUGCUCACAAUUAAUCCUGACUACACACGAGCUUCUCUCCCUGGCCAAGACACAAUCAUAGUAUGAUGAAGAACAUGGCACUAGCCGGCAAUGGUAUGAAGAACUUAAUCCUCGCUGUUCUCUUACUGUGUCUAGUUAUAGGGCAGAUACAAGUGGAAGCUAAGAGCUGCUGCCCAUCCAUUACUGCAAGAAAUAUCUACAAUGCCUGCCGUAUCACGGGUACAUCCCGUCCAACGUGUGCAAAACUGUCAGGCUGCAAAAUUAUCAGCGGGGACAAAUGCAAGCCCCCUAACGACCACCUCACCCUUGACCCGGACACUGGUAAAUAAUAAAUUUAUCUCACUUGAUUUCUUCGUGUUUUGAGUCGUUAAUGUAUUUUCCAUCUGAUGAAACGUAUUGGUUUUGCAUUGAAGAGGAAGUUAAUGUGCUUAACUUCUGCAAGUUGGGGUGUGCGUCGUCUGUGUGCAACAACAUCAACGCUGGUAAGCACCUUUUGCUCAGACGGAGAAAACAAUAAUCAUUAAUUAGCGGCAGCUAGAAUCCUAUAAUCUAAUAUAUUUAUAUAUAUAUAUAAUUUUAUCAGCUCUGGGAAAUGAAGAGGCGAACGAUGCCGUUGAGAGUUGCGACCAAGCCUGCUCUAGCUUCUGCAACGUGCACGUUGGCGCUGCCACCGUGGUUGCUUAAGCAAAUGCAUCCAACUGGAUCGUCCUUGUGCUAAAUAAUUGGAUAUCGUAUCCACUUAAAGCUGCCUUGUGUAGUACGUUUUUGUUUGUGUCUCUCUUUAUAUUCCAAUAAGGUCGGUGAUCUUGAUGCCACACACUCAGACGUGUGUUCAUCUCCAGAUACUACUCCAUGCUACCUGCCCUUUGUGUUUUGUUCAAUAACUGGGUAUCAUAUCCCAGCCAGUGUGCCAUCUGUUUUGUGUUUAUUUCCUUCUAGUUUCAAAGGGGUUAUCAUGAUGUUACCUUCUUUCGAUAUGGUGCUUUGCAUGACUACUGUUGUAUGGUACCAUCUUGUUGGCCAAUAAAUACAUCUUAUCCUAUGACCCUUUGCUAUGACCCUUUGCAAAUAAGUACAAGAUUGUUAAAUACUCGGUAUAAAUUGACUACUGCUGUGAGUUCCCUUUCAGCUUAUCGUAGGCAUACAUUAUUGCUAGCACGGUGAAGACAACCAACACGAAUGGUCAAGUAAACGUACCGGUACUUUUGUAUACCAACACCCUUGCUUAAAUGUACCGGUGUUACUCCCCACUAGCACAUAUAUUCUUAUAUGCUAGCCGGCUUGAAAAUUAACCGAUUAAAAUAAUUAUUUCAAGACAGAAAUAACUUAUCGGCUUCUCGAAGCAUGUGUAAUGUGAAUUCAAGGACUUGAUGGAAGUUGAAUCGCUUAAUCUAGAUUGCUUUCAGGAUUUUGGGUAACUAAAUUUAACAUUUGCACAUACAAAUGUUAAUGUACAAAUAUUAAAUAUAGUUACCCAAGCAGAAUAUGAAGAUACUCUAUAGUAUAUAUAUACUAUAUAAAUCUAGUUAACAUUUAGUCUAAAUGUUAAAUCUAGUUACCUAAAAUCCUGAAAGCAAAAUGUAUAAAUAUAUAUCUUUUAAGGAAUCCCAAAGCAAGAGUUCAGUGGCAUUCUAUAGUCCCAUGCUGCUAGUUUGAGUUGGUCGAAGCCAACUUAAAUAGGAGAGCUCUCUCACUUCUCUAAAUACGUAACUGAAGGAGAGAAGGGGGCUUGGUUACACAACGCACGCACGCACGCAUAUUUGCGUUCUUUUCGCGUAACCAACCGCGUGACUUGAAACUUGCGACGUAGCGUGCUGCCAAGUCAAGUUGAUAUAACCUUUUUGCCGUAGGCGUGUAAUCUUUUGACAACGGUCAUUGGAGGUGAUAAGCACGCAGUCAAUACCUUAAUCCUGAGUUAAUAGGGCGGUUACUACUGCCAAUUAGUGGGGCAAUUUUGUAGGGGAAACGGUUAGCAGAGGGCUACCAUCUUCUCUAUAAGAAGUUCUGGAGACGUCCAGGAACACACAUGUACAUGUGAGAGACCCACGAAUUCCUUCCCAUCUCCCUUUUCCAUCUGGUGAAGUGUGCUAUGGUACUGAGCUGCUGGAUCUCGCCGGCUCUUCUCCUUGGCGUGCACCGAGGAGGAGGGUGAGCGGUAUCUCCGAGCUAUUGCCGUCAGGAAGCCUGCACGAGGGACAACAAUAAAGUUUUUGGGUAGCGCAACUACGCAACCGCUCGAUUCGAUCGACUAUGUUCUGCGCUGCCUCAUCUUCGAUCUGCACUGCAACACGUAACCCUGCAGCAAGUCUACACAAGGACGGAGCACUAAUCUGUAAGUCCUAGAUUGGUUUCUUACAGAGUUGUAGGUUACACAAGAUCUAGAAUUGUUACAUACUUAUUAUUAUGGGUUACAUGAUGUUUUGUACGGUUACGUCUAUUUUGCAUAUGCUAUUUUUACAUACCGUUUACAUGCAUAUGUAAUGGUUACGCCUAGCUAUUUGAAUCUAGAAUUGGGUUACAUAGCAGUAGCAAUGACUUACGUAAUAUGCCUCAUGUUUAUAUCUGGUAGAAUUUAACACGUAUCUCCAACAUAUUUUGAGGCAGUAUAAAUUUCAAUUCCUUUUGCUGCUCUGUUAAAUCCCGUCUUUCGUGUGGCCCAACACUCUAGUAUGCAUGUAGCACCAAGCUUGUUUGAGCCGCUUUGUGCUCUGAUUUUGCUGUCUGUAUCAGGUUGGACUGUUUCUUUGUCUUGCGAUGUAUAGCUUCAUAUCUUCUAGAGGUUAGACAGCAAAACCCGCGUUCUCUUAAGGCAACAACUCGAAGAAUCUGCAGCGCUCCUGAUAUAUCACUGCUGCAGAAACAAUCUUUAGUACUGAUUUCCAACCCCCUUUAGUAUCGGUUUGGCAAUCAGUACCACUACGUCGGUACUAAAGGGAGUUCUCUAGAAUCGGGUCAAAUAACUGGUACUAAAAGUGCUCCUCUACUACCAGUUGGUAACACCAAUAGGUAGUAACUUUUUUUGCACCCAAAAAAUUAAAGAAAAACAGCCGGGAGGCUCGCGCACACACGCAUCAUGAGUAAUAUGCGCGUGCAUGGUUUGUGGGAUUCCAACCCACGACCAAGCUAUAAGCACGUAGUUACAAAAAAAUUAAACACUUAGACAUUUUAGAGCAUCCCAAAUAACUACAAAUUCUUUAGUUUACCAUAUACCAUAAAAUAUUAGUUAAAAUAAGAGCAUACGCACGUCGGAAGAGUCCCAAUGCACCGGUUGAGGAUCAGACCAGGCACUUUGAAUGCACAUGCCAUAAGAUAAUUCUGCAGGACGAUGAUUGCAAUAAUGGACCAUCGAGAAGAUAGGGGCGAUGGGGUUGCCUCAUCAAUUAUGACUUGGCGCAACAAGACCAGCAAAGUCUUUAUCGACAGGGGUGGAUCAAGGGGUGGGGCGGGUAGAGCUCCAAUCUUCCUACCGCCGCUCGAACAAUGGAGCCCCCCUUAGCCCCUCCAUAAAUUUUUAGGUAGAAGAAAAAAGAAGAGAAGGGAAGGAAGGGGAAGAAUAGGGAGCCCCUCCUAAGUAGGUCGCCAUCGUGCUUCCCAACGCAUGAUCGCCGCACCGCAUCCAUUCCUCUACAAGCCUCCAGCGUCUCUCCUGCCGCUACCUCUGAACCAUGUGCAGCUGCAGACCCAACUAGUGUCUUGUCACCCAUCUCAAUCCCAACAGAGCGGCGGCUCCUGCCAGCACAAAUCUCCCUCCGCCUGUUCUUCACGAUCGAUGGCCACCACAAGCAUAAACCUCGCCUUCGCAUCCACGCAAAAGGGUCGCCGGUGUGCCUUCUCGCAUCGCUUCUCAGCCUCCUUCACUUGCGGCUGGCCAAGAACCGUGCCACCACCUCGGGUGCGCGCCACCGCUCCAGGGCCGCUACCCCAUGCGUGCGGCCGCCGCCGGCCACCACGCGUGUGCAACCGUGUCGCACCGCUUCCCUGCUCUGUGCCACCACUGCUACUGCACCACCAGCUCCACCACCUUGGGCUGGUCGCCAGGGUGACUGAUUGGUGGAUUAUUACUACAAAUAAGUUCCUUAUUAUCUGCAACUACUAUUAACUCAGGGAUACAUGCGUCUUUUGCUUCUCCUGUUAAUAUGUCCUAAAAUAUCUAGAAUGCCUUAUAUUUCUGGACGGAGGAAGUAUUUGAAUAAAAUGAACCAAUUUUAAAAAAUGUGUUGUACACUACUACAGAAAGAACUAUCAGUGUCAAACCCAAAAAUGUCGUCACUGCCAGUUUUGGGCAUCGUUGGUGAAAGGUUGGCGGUGAUGGGUAUCCCCUUCAACAACGGCACUAGAGCUAACAGUGAUUGACAUUAGAAAACGAAAAAGGGGACCCACCUAGCCACCCCUGCAACCCGGCUGGCCGUGCCUCCCGUCAUCCCCACCACCUCGCCUCCCCCGUGACCCCCCGCCGGCGCCCUUGCGCCUAGCCCCCUCGCCUGCCUGGCCGGCCACCCUCGUCACGAGAGAGAGGGGUGCAUGUUGUAUAAUUGCGUGAAUUUUUAAUGUUUAAUUUCAUGUAAGUUUCAUAUAAUAAAUUGUACAAGUUUUAUUGUAUAUAUGAAUUCCAUAUAUAUAUAUUUAUAAUUUAAUGUAUGGUUUCAUGUGUAUAUUUCAAUAAUGUGUAUAUUUAGUAGAUAGCCGAUUUUCUUUUUCUACAAGACAAGGGUUGAUGUAUAAUUACGUGUAUAUGUUUAUUGUACGGGCAAUUAGGACAAGUUUUGUAUAAAUUUCUUUUAUUUCAUGGUUGUUGUAUGGUUUCAUGUAUAUACAUUUAUUGUACUACUUGAGACAAUUUUUAAUUUAAUGUUUCUAUGGUUACAUGUGUGUAUAACUAAUUGUAUUAUUAGUUAAGAUGGGAGCCAAAGAGGAUGAAAGGUAUAUAAUGGAGCAGAUUAUUGCUGGCGGUAGUGGCUCAAACGUUGCAAGAACCUACAUCAAGGGUGAGGGUAGCUAGGUGGACAUGUACCUCAACAUGUCCAGUGAUGGCAAUGACGAUGAGGAGCACGAGCAUGACGUUUAUGAUAGUGCGGAACAAGACAUUGCAGAAUUGGAAGGUUCUAAUGAGGUGUGCUUCAUGUUGAUGAUCUGGUUGGCUUUUUUUCUUUGGUCACACCUUAGUUACCAUAGAACUUCGUCUCGGGAGAAGAUUGGAGGUGCUAUGGUGAUUGGAAUUUUAUUGCCUCCAAAUAUGAUUUCCAUCGAAUCAUAUCCCUUGUAUUUAUCUUCUUUUUAUUUGUGAGAGCAUCUUCUUUAUGCUUGCAAAACAAUUCAAGUGCACAUACUACACCUAGGGUGAUGAUUAGGAGUAGAAACAAUUGCCAACAAACGAACACCACAUCCUAAGAUUCUUAACUUGUGGUAUAAUUAGUCUAGUAAAAAGAAAGAUAAAAACCUAAUGGGUGUACGUGAGUGCAAUGCGUAUAUGCAUAUGAGUGGAAGGCAUAUAAGCAAAGAUAAUAUUUACACAUAGAUCUAAGCACCAUGUUUACAACUAAGUUGCUGAAUUUCUCCAUAGCUAUAGAGAUUAAUGAACCAAGGUCAAAACACCAUGUCUAUCCCAAGAUCAGUAAUUCUUUAUAGCACAAGAAAAAGAAAGCGCAUUGCAAAGUUUAUAAACCAACCAAUGCAGCAUGAAAACAAGAUGAAUAGCUAGCAAGGUUUAUUAAACUGAAUGAUGACGGUCUGCAAGCAAGUUUGAACACCAUCUUUACACAAGAUUGCAAAUGGAAAAUUCCCAUAUGAAGAACUAACAUGGAUAUGAAAUCAUUCAUCAUAAAGCGUAAAGAACAACCAAGCCAACCAUAUGCAAAGCAUGAAUGGAAUGCAAUGAAGGUGCAAGAGAACAUUUUUGGAUGAACCCAUUAUGAUGAUGGCAAAAUGCGCCGUGCCCCCCAGCCCCCGCGGUGAGAUCCCGCCGCUCGCUGCCGCCAGACCCUAUUAGGCCUCCACCGGCAGGUCCACCCACGGUCCCGCGCGACGUGGCAGCCUCUUGGCUCUCGGCGCUCGCGGCACGCCAGUGCUGGCGCAGCCCCACCAGGCGACUACCCUCCCCCCAUAAGGCCUCGGCCCCUCCCCAGCGCCGCCCCCCAACACCAGGACUGCCUGCUGCCCCCCACCGUGAGGUAAUCGAAAUCGACUGCUCAAUCUCUCAAUCUGUUGAUAUGAUGCACACGGUUGCAAAAAUAGAUGUGUCAAAAUAGAUGUUUUGCCAAUUGCUAUAGAUGCAUACGGUUGACAUGAAGUCAAAAAUGACAUUUGGUUCCUUGUAGGCAGUCAAAAAUGAAGAAGUCAAAAAAUAUUGAUCUGAAAUCAAUGUGGGAAAGGGCUAUGAAGACACGCAGGUAGAUUCCCUUGUGAACUUUUUAUGUCGUUCGUCUAAAUAAUUUUUUGCAAUGGGCAUACCCUACUCUGAAAUCCUGGGUCCGCCACUGAUGAUGAUGGUCUAAAAAUAAACCAAGCCUAGAUUAAUUAGCCACAACUGAAAUUAAGCAAAGGUUAAUGUCAUUGACCCUAGCUCUAUCCUAGCUUUUACCAAAGUUCCGGCACAUAUAGUGGUUGGGCCCACUCUCUCUGCUUCCCUCUCUGCUGCAUGCACGCACACGAGCAACGGGAGGCCCGACGAAGCCCAGAAGGGUUCGGCCGAACCAGUAUGAGCGCCGCUCCCUCCCAGCCUUCGCGCAGAUGCUCCUCCAACGUUCCUUGACCCCUCCCUCAGCGUCCCGUUGGGUUUAACAUUGCAGGAGAGGAGUCCCUUUUUUAAAAUCUCAACCACCUCCUCUCCCCAUUCACUCCACUCUCAUCUCCAUCAAACUCACCAAGAUCCGCACCGGAAAUCCCUGCUUACCACCAUGGCUGGCAAAGCCCUCAUCCCUUUCACCAACUUGGGCUUGACCACUGAUCUCGAUGGGGAAAUCACUCUGGCAAAUAUGCGUGUAACACUGCCCCCUUUGCCGAGGGUUAAAGCCAAAACACUCAGCAAAGUGGAUAGUACCCCCCUUUUUACCCGUUUUGUCAUGUAUAACGGACCCCUCUCAAUUCACAAUAGACAUCAUCAUAGGCAUUUAUAAUAAACAAUCACAGGCAUAAUUCACAAUCACCAUUACAAGCAUUAUUCAUAAAUAUCACAGACAUAAUCCAAAGUAAGCAUGAAACAAGCCAUAAAUCCAAGUUCAAGUCACAACUAAGUUUCAUCCAAGUUCAAGUCACAAAUGCAAUGUCUAAAUCCAUGGAGGCCAAGGAGACCACUGCGACAAAUCUUGGUCUUCAUUAUUCGAAGCCGCCGAUUGAUUCUGCACAUAGGAUAGGACAUUCUGAGCUAACAUCUAAAGUUGUCAAAAUUAAAGUAUUCAAUCUUAAGCACAAUGUGUCAAAUGACUCACAGGAGUAGUUGUGGGUGGCUGAGGCGGAGGGAACAGCAUCGAUGGCGGUGGCAAAGAUUGACCCAUGCUCGAAGCAAAAUUCUGCAUGUACUGGAACAUCUGGUCCAUCCUCAUCCGAUUUUCUUCCUCCAUCCUCUGCCGCUCGGCCUCUAACCUCCGCUGAACCAUCUGCUCCAUCCUCGCCGCCAUCUCCUCUUGUUGCUUCCUUGCUGCUUCCACCUGGGCCUACAAUAUUUCAUUGCAAUGUUACAAUGCAAAGCUAAAGUAUAGCAACCAACGAACAAUGAAUGGAAGAGAAAGAACCUGGAGAGCCUCCAUCUGGAACUGUCCAAUGGUUGGUCGUAGCCGUAUCGCCGGGCUCGAGUCCGUGCUCCUUGCUUGGAUCUGGGAGAGAGUGGCAGUAGAGGCCGUGUUGAUUACGCCGUCGCCAAUCCAAUAUCGGCCAUGCUUCUUGCCUCCUCCCACCCUCAUCACGAUUUCUCCAUCAAUAUCCUCAGAGCUUGAAUCGAAGUCUGGCCCGUGAACCUCCCUUGCCAUCACUGUAUAUUCCUUUGCCGAGUGCCCGAGAUAAAGCACUCGGCAAAUAGAAAACACUCGGCAACUUUACUGUUUCCCGUAGUGUCGCUAUUUUUGCAGGUUCUCGACCAGGCCAGUUCUUUGGGCCAACCUAUCAUUCACGACUUAAACAUACGGUGGCUGUAGAAAUGUUCUAUUCUUUUCAACAAUACCAGCUGGUUCCUCCGUUUUUAUUCCACCAAUACAAGCACCACCUUGUAACAUUUCCUAUGUUUUUUUUUCCUUUCGUCUGUUUUCUACAUGCGUUGCUCUUUCAUGCAUUUUUUUCCAUUCCUGUAUUCCAAAUAGGUCUACAUGAACACAAAAUGAACUAGGGGACAGAAAAAGCCAGUGAAGCCAAUUUUGAGCUUCACCAGCUACUUGCUACAUAAAGUGUGCUAUAGUGACGUGUUUUAGCAAAACAUGUUAUCAAUGACUUGACAUUGGUGACGUGUUAAAACGCGUUAUCUCAAUGGCAAAUCAUUGGUGACGUGUUUUAAAAAAACAUGUCACCGUGAGAGUCAUUGGUGAAGGGUAAUUAUAAUGCGUCACUAAUGUUGUAGCAUUAGUUAUGAUAAUUUAGUAACGCAAAAAUCUACCAUCAGUAUUGAGCUUUAGAGCCAUCGCUAAUGUGGGUUUCUUACAUAGUGAUGCAAGCUCUACAAGGUGCUGUUGCUGCCAUUUUAAAGCAUCCCAUGACUACAUGUUAAUAACAUAGUUUACCAUAUAUCAUAAAAAUAUUAGUUACAAUAAGCACAUACGCAUGUGGAAGAGUCCGAAUGCACCGGUUGAGGACUAAACACAUUGAAUUACUAGAACCAAAUGUGUGUUUAGAACAAAGACAGGGGUCAAGGUUUGGGUAACCGCAUUAAAAACAUUGGAUUUUACUGUACAUGAACACUUAGUUACCAUUACCAUGCCUUGAGCACCUAGUUACAACAAACAUUAAUUUAGCCACUUUAGAGCUUCCAGAAUCGCUAUAAAUAAUAUACCUACGCCGUACCAUGAAAACAUCAAGAAGAGAGACGGAUACAUGGACCACCAUCAAGCGAGUAGUGACAGCACGCACAAGAAUACCCGGAACCUGUUAGCUUGUCUGUAGUGAUCUGUUUUCUUCCCCAUAAAAUCCAUGAGUAUUGCCACAAAUAAUGAAAGAGGCUGACCAAGCUAGCAAGGAGGUAGAGCAAACGUGAUACACGGCCUGCCAAGAUUGCCCUGGAUACGCCAAUAAGAGCGACAGAUACAUGGAUCACACCAAUAUGGUGAAACGUAUAUUCAUCACACAAGCAAAGCUGGUCAGUUUAUCCAUGGUCAAAUUGUGGUCUUUGUUUUCACUUGAGAGCUAAUUGAGGCACUAUAAUAUGGGCAGGCCUAUCUUCAACAGACAUGACAGCUACAGGGAACUUGACAUAAUUUGCUGGGCCGCCUGUGCACAAUUAUUUGUUUUAUUGUCCUUGCAUAGAAUGCUAAAAUACUCUUUACAAAAUGUUGGAUCUAAUAUUUGAAAUAUAGAGUAGUAAUCAUAUAUUGAUCAACAACUUGAAAUUAUCUGUACAUUCUCGGUGAAGCUGUUGAACUAAUUUUUGCAAAUUAUUAAUUCAUCUCAUUACGUAAAGAAAAAAGUAAGUGGAUAAGAUAUUUCGUGGACCACAUCACUGCAAACAUGUCAUGGAGAGACAGACCAAGGAGGCAGGACGUGAUACACGACUUACCCUAGGUUGCCGUGGAACCGCCAAGAAGAGAUACAGAUACAUGGACCACACCAUCUUGGGAGUAGUGACAGCAUAUAUGCAGAAGAAUACCCCGUGCCUAUUUGCAUGCAUGUCUCAAGUGAUCUGUUUUCUUCAGAAAAUACAUGAGCAUUGCCAGAAAGAAUGGCAAGAGACAAACAUGUCAUAGAGACUUGCAUGUCUUGCCUUGGAUACGCCAAGAAGAGGGACACAUACAUGGAUAACACAAAUCUAGUGACACGUAUAUUCAUCACAAAGGCAAAUCUGAUAAUUUUAUCCAUGGAGCAGACCAAGGAGAAAUUGAUGACGGACAUGUGAUCUCUGUAUUCAGUUGAAAGCUAAUUGAGCUACACUAAUAUGAGCAGGACUAUAUUCAAGAGACUUGUUGAGAGCUACAGGGAACUUGUAAUAAUUUGCUGGGCGGCCUGCGCACAAUGAUUUGUUAUACAUAGUUGAAAUAUUUCAAGAAUUUAUCAACCUCAUACUCUGAAACCCUUGGUGCAAUGUACUCUGCUUUCCGAGGUAGACUGUUCACGUAAAAUGAGGUCAUGCGUAAGACGGAAUCGGAUUGGAUUCACAGGGAAUCAGAUUUGGAUAGCACCUUUUAGCAGGUUUUUAGUCAAAUGCAAAUUCGGAUCCACAUGUGGUUGAAUGCGAGUUCAAAAUUCUACUUGGAUAUCCAUUUAAUUUAGGUGAUAGCAAUUAGCACAAAAUGUUGGAUGAACAAAAUCAUAGUUAGACAUACAAUUACAUGUAUGGUUAAAGUAUAAUACAAUACACCAAGAUUAUUCCUUGAAAAUAUUUCUUAAAAAUAUUAUAAUAAAUGAAUAAAUAUAAUUGUGGCCACCAACAAAUAGUCGGUGGUCGCUAAGUUGGAGCCAUUUCUGGUUACUAAUGCGGCCUUCUCCUCGACCAGCGACGACAGCUGAGCUUGUUCCUUCUGACACUAAAUCAUCAGAGUCUUCCCUCCACUACUAUAGAAUGCACCUUUAGCACCAAUUGGGAAAUCCCCUUCAGUAUUGGAUGCUGCAACCAGUGCUAUAUAUCAAAAUGGAGACUAAAAGCCUCGGUCUUGGGUACCGGUUGCAUAACGCAUUACUAAAGGAGGCAAAAGAGAAAUGUAACAAAAAAAAUAUUUUGAAUUCCAAGAAUGUUUCACUAUUCAAGAUGACUAGCUGAGAGUCAACAGACAAGAUACUAGGAAUGUGGGUGCUUGAAUGCAUUUGUACAGAGGUCAUACUAUUUACAAACUCUUCUAUGUUUCCAUAUGACUACCUACUUCAAUGUCACGCGAGCCAUUCAGCUGGACACAUGGCACACUAGCUUGCAUGUCGAAUCCAUGAUUAAUUAUUUCCACUUGUGAUCUCUUACCAGUAUUUGUCCAGACUAGAAACGUGCAACACAUUUUUAGGAUAUGGACACGCAUAUAUUUGGACUAGUAUACAGGUCACCUUUGGAUGCGUACAAGGAUGACCGGGAGGGACUAGAAAUGGUCUAGUUUUGAUUGGACUACAAAACUUUUUGUACAGUGAAUAGAGAAUAUAUAUUAUUGUUGGAAUACGAGGUAGGCUACACUAUCGCAAUUCUGAUAUUCUACCGCGUAUAACCAAGAAGAACUGUCGUAUAAGGAUCACGGGAUUACCACUCGACGCACUACUGGUGCGGAAGAUGUAGAUAUGCGUCGAUGCAGUGAAGACGAUCACGUAGUCGUAUGUAGUCGAUCAACGUAGUCGUACAUAGUCGAUCACGUCCAGCAGCUCCUCAGCAGCUCGUCCACGUGCAGCAAGAUCGCCUCCGGUACCGCGGCUCGUCGUUGGCUUGUCGUGGCUCGUCGACGGCUCGUCGGCGGCUCGUCCAAGUGCUGCAGGCGCAACACCUCCAAGGUAUCCACACGUGCAGGGAGGAAGCGUCGCAAGCCGGACUGCUAGAUCCACGAGUUGCAACAGGCGAGGGCGUGGGAGGCGCGGCAGGUGUGUUUCGCCAAAAAGGUGUAAACCCUAGGGCGCCCCCACCCCUCUAUUUAUAGAGGUUCCUGACGGGCCUCUGGAUCCGAGGCCCAUUAGUACUUCUAAACCUAAUCCAACUCGGAUCAGAUCCGAAUUGGGCUUCCAGCCCCUUAAGUGUGUGACCCUAUAAGUUCGGAUACGUAUAGACAUGGCCCGAGUACUCCUACUCGGCCCAAUAGUCGGUAGCGGCCUCUAGCAAGACGUGCCAACUCCUAUACGCACACGAAGAUCAUAUCAGACGAACCAUCACAACAUAAUAUACAUGCUAUUCCCUUUGCCUCACGAUAUUUGGUCUAGCUUCAAGCCGACCGCUCUUUCUCAGUCCUGUGAUUCGGAAUCCCUUUGUAGGUUAACUCUUAACCGUACGUAGCAUGGCCAUGCAUUUUCGGAUCUGAUCACUCGAGGGGCCCAGAGAUAUCACUCUCAAUCAGAGAGGGGCAAAUCCCAUCUUGAUUGACCAUGUCUCAUAGCAUGCUUCUUGACAAACCUAAAAACUACCUUUAUAACUUCCCUGUUACGGCGUAGUGUUUGAUAGCUCCUAAGUAGGUCGAUCCACAUCUAGAAUACAUGCGACAAUUUCAGGUCUAAGGACAAAGCGUAUAUGUUGUUUAAAGAGAGAACUACUUCUCGUGUUGGGUCAGUCCCAGCACAUGUCUCCACAUGUGUCCACAUUAUUAGUUCAACAUCUCCAUGUCCAUGACUUGUGAAACAUAGUCAUCAACUAAUACAUGUGCUAGUCUAAUAUUCAUGUGUGUCCUCACAUGAACUCCGACUAGGGACAACUUUAGAAUAACCAUACAAGUAAAGAGUUUCACAUACAAUUCACAUAAUUGCAAAUCAAUUCAAGUAGCCUUCAAUGGAUAUUCAAUGAACACAACAUACAAAUCAUGGAUACAAAUGGAAUAUCAUCAUCUCUAUGAUUGCCUCUAGGGCAUACCUCCAACAGUCUCCCACUUGCACUAGAGUCAAUCUAGAAGGUACCUAAUACCCAUAGCUCUUACAUGCGCAUCAUGCUUAGCCUGCGGGAGUGGUUUUGUCAACGGAUCAGAAAUGUUCAGAUCCGUGUGUAUUUUGCAUAUCUUGAUCUCACCCCGGUUAACGAAGUCUCGAAUGAGAUGAAAUCGCCGCAUUACAUGUUUGUUCUUCUGGUGGUUCCUUGGCUCCUUUGCUUGCGCAAUUGCCCCAUUGUUAUCACAGUAGAGAUUCAAUGGGCUGGACCCAUUCGGGAACACACCAAGCUCAAUGAGGAAAUUCCUUAUCCAAACACCUUCCUUCGCGGCUUCCGAAGCCGCGAUGUACUCGGCUUCUGUCGUAGAAUCGGCCACCGUCUCCUGCUUGGAACUCUUCCAACUAACAGCACCACCAUUUAGCGUGAACACAAAUCCUGUUUGUGACUUUGAAUCAUCUCUGUCGGUUUGGAAACUAGCAUCGGUGUAACCUGUUACAACGAGCUCCUCCUCACCUCCAUAGACGAGGAAUAUAUCUUUAGUCCUUCUCAAGUACUUAAGAAUGUUUUUCACCGCUGUUCAGUGACUCUCACCUGGAUCAGAUUGGUGUCUGCUUGUCAUACUUAGCACAUAUGAAACAUCUGGGCGAGUACUUAUCAUUGCAUACAUGAUAGAUCCAAUAGCCGAGGCAUAUGACACUCUACUCAUGUGAUCCCGCUCAUCAGCAGUCGAAGGACACUGAGUCUUGCUGAGAUGUAUGCCAUGUGACAUAGGCAAGAACCCUUCCAUGCUGAACCGCUUCAACACUUUGUCAAUGUAAGUAUCUUGGCUUAAACCUAUAAGCCUUCUCGAUCUAUCUCUAUAGAUCUUAAUGCCCAGAAUAUAUGCCGCUUCCCCUAAGUCCUUCAUCGAAAAACUAUUUUUCAGUGAAGUCUUUAUGGACUCAAGCAUAGGAAUGUUAUUUCCAAUCAGUAAUAUGUCAUCCACAUAUAAGAUUAGAAAUACUACAGAGCUCCCACUAACCUUCUUGUAAACACAAGACUCUUCUUCGUUCUUGGUGAAGUCAAACCCUUUGACCACUUCAUCAAAACGAAUGUUCCAACUCCUAGAUGCUUGCUUCAAUCAAUAAAUGGAUCUCUGAAGCUUGCAUACCUUUCCAGCAUUUUUCGGAUCGACAAAACCCUUGGACUGUAUCAUAUACACGUCCUCAGUUAGGUUUCCAUUCAGGAAAGCUGUCUUGACAUCCAUCUGCCAUAUCUCAUAAUCGAAAUAUGCAGCCAAACUUGAUUGUCUCCCAUGGACUCUAUUUCGGAUUGCAUGGCAUUCUGCCAUUUUUCGGAGUCUGGGUCCAUCAUUGCUUCUGCAUAUGUCACAGGCUCAUCAUUGUCCAACAAUAAUAUUUCCUGCAUUUCGCGGAGCCUUGCCGACCUUCGUGGUUGUGGCGGUGCUUCUCUUGCCAUGGGUAUCUCAACUUGUUCUGCUACGUUAGCAUCACUCAUUGAUUCUUGCCCGAUCGGCUCAUCUUGAACUUCUUCAAGAUGCACUGUCUUUCCACUCUUUUCUCCUUUGAGAAACUCUUUCUCUAGGAAAACCCCGUUCCGAGCGACAAACACUUUGCCUUCUGAUCAGUUGUAAAAAUAAUAUCCCAAAGUUUCCUUUGGAUAUCCCACGAAAAUGCACUUAUCCGACUUGGGUGCGAUCUUGUCCGACUGAAGUCGCUUGACAAACACAUCACAUCCCCAAAUCUUUAGAAAAGACAAACUAGGAACCUUUCCAGUCCAUAUCUCAUAUGGUGUCUUAACUACGGAUUUAGAUGGUACCCUAUUAAGUGUGAAAGCUGCUGUUUCUAGAGCGUAUCCCCAAAAUGACAACGGUAGGUCCGACUGGCUCAUCAUUGAUCGAACCAUGUCUAACAAAGAUCGAUUACGUCGCUCGGACACACCGUUUCUCUGAGGUGAUCCAGGCGGCGUAAGUUGUGGAACAAUUCCGCAACUCUUUAGAUGAUUGCUAAACUUGUGGCUCAAAUACUCGCCUCCACGAUCAGAUUGUAAGGCCUUAAUUUUCUUGACACGCUAAUUUUCAACUUCAUUCUGAAAAUCCUUGAACUUUUCAAAGGUUUCAGACUUGUGCCUCAUCAAGUAGACAUAGCCAUAUCUACUAAAAUCAUCAGUGAAAGAUAUGAAGUAUUGGAAUCCUCCUCUAGCCGUCGUGCUCAUUGGUCCGCAUACAUCACUAUGUACGAGUUCCAACAAGUCUACUGCUCUCUCAGGAAAUCCUGUGAAAGACGUCUUGGUCAUCUUGCCUAGCAAGCAAGCCUCACAUGUCUCGUAUGAUUCAAAAUCAAACGAAGUUAGAAGUCCAUCAGAAUGGAGCUUCUUCAUGCGUUUUUCACUUAUAUGACCCAAACGACAAUGCCACAAGUAGGUAGGACUCAAAUCAUUAGGCCGAGGCCUUUUAGCACUUACAUUACAGACAGGUGAACCAUCAAGAUUUAAAACAAAUAAUCCAUUCACAAUGGGUGCAAAAGCCAUAAACAUAUUAUUCUUAGAGAUCACACAACCAUUGUUUUCACUCGCAAAUGAAUAACCAUCCUUCAUCAAGCAUGAAGGAGACAAAAUGUUUCGACUUAAACUAGGAACAAAAUAACAAUUAUUCAACUCCAUAAUAAAUGCUGACGGGAGGUGGAGUUGCAUCGUCCCGACGGUCAACGCAGCAACUCUUGCAUUAUUGCCCACGCGGAAAUCAACUUCUCCUCUUUCCACGCUUCUACUUCUUAUCAUUCCCUGCAUCGAAUUGCAAAUAUGAGCAACCGAUCCGGUAUCAAAUACCCAAGAAUUAAUAAUUGUAUCAGCGAGAAAUAUGUUGUCUAUGACAUUAACAACAAGCGUACCUGAGGUAGAAGUACUCUUACUUCCUCCAUUCUUCAACGAAGCUAGGUACUGCUUGCAGUUUCUCUUCCAGUGACCAAGUUCAUGACAGUAAAAGCACUCUUUGUCUGGAGCAGGUCCAGGUCCAGCUUUAACCUUGGGCGCUCGCUGGGUUUGGCUUGGAAAUUCCAGCCUUGCCCUUCUUCUUCCAAGAAUUGCCCUUCUUCUUAAAGCUAGGCUUGUUCUGUAUAGCCAUCACAUGGCUAGUACAAGCGCUUUUCUUGAUGUCUACCUCUGCUGUCUUGAGCAUACCACACAGUUCAUUCAAACCCUUCUCCGUCCCAUGCAUAUGGUAGUUCGAGAUGAAGUUCCCAUAGCUAGGCGGAAGAGAUGAAAGAAUGAAGUCAGUGGCCAACUCUUUGCCCAUUGGGAAGCCCAGCUUCUCCAAUCGCUGAGUGUAACCAACCAUGUUGAUUACAUGUGGUCCUACUGCUGCGUCUUCUGCUAGCUUGCACUCCAGAAAAGCUUUGGACACAUUGAACCUUUCAGUCCUAGCCUGUGUCUGGAACAUGUCCUUGAGCGCCACGAUCAUAUCGUGUGCCUCAUGAUUUGUUUCGAACUGCAUCUGCAGCUCGGGUUCCAUGCAAGCAAGCAUAAGGCAGCUUACCUCAAGAUUAGCAUCAAAUGCCUUCUUGUAAGCAGCCUUAACGGCAGCAGAUGCAUCAUCAGCAGGUACUGGUGGUAGUGGGGUAUCUAGAACAUCUUCCUUUUUAUCGGCCCUGAGAACAAUUCUCAGGUUACGGAUCCAAUCCGAGUAGUUUGUUCCAUUCAACUUGUCCUUCUCAAGGACCGAGCGCAAAGCAAACGAUGUGGUGGUGUUGCUAGGUGCCAUUUAAUCUACAACAAAAGUAAUGCAAAAUACACUAAGACAAACGUAUCCAUGAUAGAGCAAAUUACAUUAAACUAUUUUAACAGAAUCUACUCCCACUAAAAUCAAUAUCCCUCUAUUGAAACUUAGUGAUUCAGGAUCCACAACUAACAAGUCUACUAGUGAGCUUUAGCAUCACCGCUAGCAAACGAGGUAGAUCGGUAAGCAACUUUUGCUAAUCAUAUCACAUAUGACUCCUGUUGUUGGGUGACAUCUCCAUGUCUCGGCGCCCAACCAUUAUGCCCCAAGGUCCUUAACCGUUAAGAUGACCUCGUUAAGCAAACCAACCCUUAUGCGUGUAAGUGUCCGACACAAACCCGUCUAGUCAAGGAAAACUAGUGGCACCCUAAUUUCAUAGACCCACCACUAAUUGUACAAGACAUGGGACGGUGCAAGUUUUAGUUGGGAGGGCAUACUAACUUAAAUUUUUUGUGAGGGAUCGUUCUACUUCUAACAUCACAGCAUGCAGAAAGUAAAACAUAAACAGAAUAGCAUUCACACAGCUGUGACACAGUAUGGCCCGUUUUUAUAUGGUGAUCUCCAUCUCCAUAGAACCUGUUCACCAUGGUGAUCUCCAUCUCCAUGUUCCAUGUGCGCCAUCCUCCUGGUGAGGAGUCCUCCAAGAACUAGAACAUGCUAUUACACCUAAUAGCUAGUAAAGAAUCUAGUAAUGAAGAUUACAUAGUUGCUUGGAUCAUCACAGAUUGGUACGCAGACCAUUAAAUACAAUAAAGUGACAACACAUAUGGCUCCUGCCGUGUUGCCGUACGCGCGACACGCAGGUCACGAAUGAGUUACACACAUGCAUCACAUACACAAGGGGGCCAUACUGAUCACAAGAUACAUACAUACAUCCUGCAAAACAGAGUUAGGCGUCCUAACGUUCCAAACUUCGAAGGCCCGAAACUCCAUCUUCCAAGCCGAAUUUGGGAAAUCUAAUUUUGCCGAAAACGGCAAAGCGGUUGAAUUUCAUGUGUAACUUUUUCUGUAGAUCAAUUUUCAUAUAAAAUUCGCCCCGAUCCGAGAUCGUACCGAAAAGUUACGGCUGAUUUACCGAAGCAUACGCAUACGGCAAAAAUUCCGACCCCGGCAGUAGAUCCCAUCUACUAUUGCACAUCUAAUGCGCCUGGCGUAUGAUCCUGGAUUUCGAUUCGACCAAUCAUAUUGAUCUUCGCUCACUGCAACUGGAAUUACGUGUAUCACUUAACUCGUCGGCGGCUCGUCGGCGGCUCAUCCAAGUGCUGCAGGCCCAACACCUCCAAGGUAUCCACACGUGCAGGGAGGAAGCGUCGCAAACCGGACUGCUAGAUCCGCGAGUUGCAAUAGGCGAGGGCGUGGGAGGCGCCGCAGGUGUGUUUCGCCAAAAAGAUGUAAACCCUAGGGCGCCCCCACCCCUCUAUUUAUAGAGGUUCCUGACGGGCCUCUGGAUCCGAGGCCCAUUAGUACUUCUAAACCUAAUCCAACUCGGAUCAGAUCCGAAUUGGGCUUCCAGCCCCUUAAGUGUGUGACCCUAUGGGUUCGGAUACGUAUAGACAUGGCCCGAGUACUCCUACUCGGCCCAAUAGUCGGUAGCGGCCUCUAGCAAGACGUGCCAACUCCUAUACACACACGAAGAUCAUAUCAGAUGAACCAUCACAACAUAAUAUACAUGCUAUUCCCUUUGCCUCACGAUAUUUGGUCUAGCUUCAAGCCGACCGCUCUUUCUCAAUCCUGUGAUUCGGAAUCCCUUUGUAGGUUAACUCUUAACCGUACGUAGCAUGGCCAUGCAUUUUCGGAUCCGAUCACUCGAGGGGCCCAGAGAUAUCACUCUCAAUCAGAGAGGGGCAAAUCCCAUCUUGAUUGACCAUGUCUCAUAGCAUGCUUCUUGACAAACCCGAAAACUACCUUUAUAACUACCCUGUUACGGCGUAGCAUUUGAUAGCCCCUAAGUAGGUCGAUCCACAUCUAGAAUACAUGCGACAAUCUCAGGUCUAAGGACAAAGCGUAUAUGUUGUUUAAAGAGAGAACUACUUCUCGUGUUGGGUCAGUCCCAGCACAUGUCUCCACAUGUGUCCACAUUAUUAGUUCAACAUCUCCAUGUCCAUGACUUGUGAAACAUAGUCAUCAACUAAUACAUGUGCUAGUCUAAUAUUCAUGUGUGUCCUCACAUGAACUCCGACUAGGGACAACUUUAGAAUAACCAUACAAGUAAAGAGUUUCACAUACAAUUCACAUAAUUGCAAAUCAAUUCAAGUAGCCUUCAAUGGAUAUUCAAUGAACACAACAUACAAAUCAUGGAUACAAAUGGAAUAUCAUCAUCUCUAUGAUUGCCUCUAGGGCAUACCUCCAACAAUUAUUUCAUGUAAAUUUUUGACAAUUUUUUAAAAUUGUUUGAUAUUUUUUAAAUUUUUUUUAAAAUAACUUUGCCGAGUGUCCUAUUGUAGACACUCGGCAAAGCAGCCUUCACCGAGUGUUACCCCUGGGACACUCGGCGAAUUAAUGCCCGGCCGCUCAAGAAUAUGUGCCCGGCCCCCUCACUCUCCCGGCCCCCCUCACUCUCACUCCCCUCACUCCCUCCUCUCUCCCUCCUCUCUCCCUCUCGCCGCCGCCCGAAACCCCCGCCGCCGCCCGCCGCCCGGCAUGCCGCCCAGCGCCCCCCGCCGCCGCCCGGCGCUCCCGAAUCCGCCGCCGCCCGCCCGGCGCCCGGCCCCCGGAUCCGCCGCCGCCGGCCGCCCGGCGCCCCCGGAUUCGCCGCCGCCCGCCCGGCCCCCGGCCCCCGGAUCAGCCGCCGCCCGCCGCCCGGCGCACGGCGCCCCCGGAUCCGCCGCCGCCUGCCCGGCGCCCGGCCCCUGGCCCCCUGAUCCGCCGCCGCCCGCCCGGAUCCGCCGCCGCCCGCCCGGCGCCCGGCCCCCGGCCCCCGGAUCCACCGCCGCCCCCCCGGCCCCCGGAUCCGCCGCCCGCCCGUCCCCUCCACCGGAUCCGCCGGCGCCGGGGCCUGAAGAGAAGAGAAGAGGAGAGGAUGGUGGCGGCGGCGGCCGCGGCGGCGGAGCAGGUGGCAGAGCAUGCAUGAUUUUUUUUUAUUUUUUCAAUAAUUGUUCGCCAAGUGUUUUCUGGGCACUCGGCAAAGUCUUUGCCGAGUGCCCGACACAAAACACUCGGCGAACCAGUGUUUGCCGUCAAGAUUUUUGCCGUGUGUCGUUUGCCGAGUGUUACACUCGGCAAACGCUUUGUCGAGUGUUUUUGGGGUUUCGCGGAGUGACCCUGGCACUCGGCAUCACGCAUGUUUCCCUUAGUGAACUUGAAAUUAUCUGUACAUUCUCGGUGAAGCUGUUGAACUAAUUUUUGCAAAUUAUUAAUUCAUCUCAUUACGCAAAGAAAAAAGUAAGUGGAUAAGAUAUUUCGUGGACCACAUCACUGCAAACAUGUCAUGGAGAGACAGACCAAGGAGGCAGGACGUGAUACACGACUUACCCUAGGUUGCCGUGGAACCGCCAAGAAGAGAUACAGAUACAUGGACCACACCAUCUUGGGAGUAGUGACAGCAUAUAUGCAGAAGAAUACCCCGUGCCUAUUUGCAUGCAUGUCUCAAGUGAUCUGUUUUCUUCAGAAAAUACAUGAGCAUUGCCAGAAAGAAUGGCAAGAGACAAACAUGUCAUAGAGACUUGCAUGUCUUGCCUUGGAUACGCCAAGAAGAGGGACACAUACAUGGAUAACACAAAUCUAGUGACACGUAUAUUCAUCACAAAGGCAAAUCUGAUAAUUUUAUCCAUGGAGCAGACCAAGGAGAAAUUGAUGACGGACAUGUGAUCUCUGUAUUCAGUUGAAAGCUAAUUGAGCUACACUAAUAUGAGCAGGACUAUAUUCAAGAGACUUGUUGAGAGCUACAGGGAACUUGUAAUAAUUUGCUGGGCGGCCUGCGCACAAUGAUUUGUUAUACAUAGUUGAAAUAUUUCAAGAAUUUAUCAACCUCAUACUCUGAAACCCUUGGUGCAAUGUACUCUGCUUUCCGAGGUAGACUGUUCACGUAAAAUGAGGUCAUGCGUAAGACGGAAUCGGAUUGGAUUCACAGGGAAUCAGAUUUGGAUAGCACCUUUUAGCAGGUUUUUAGUCAAAUGCAAAUUCGGAUCCACAUGUGGUUGAAUGCGAGUUCAAAAUUCUACUUGGAUAUCCAUUUAAUUUAGGUGAUAGCAAUUAGCACAAAAUGUUGGAUGAACAAAAUCAUAGUUAGACAUACAAUUACAUGUAUGGUUAAAGUAUAAUACAAUACACCAAGAUUAUUCCUUGAAAAUAUUUCUUAAAAAUAUUAUAAUAAAUGAAUAAAUAUAAUUGUGGCCACCAACAAAUAGUCGGUGGUCGCUAAGUUGGAGCCAUUUCUGGUUACUAAUGCGGCCUUCUCCUCGACCAGCGACGACAGCUGAGCUUGUUCCUUCUGACACUAAAUCAUCAGAGUCUUCCCUCCACUACUAUAGAAUGCACCUUUAGCACCAAUUGGGAAAUCCCCUUCAGUAUUGGAUGCUGCAACCAGUGCUAUAUAUCAAAAUGGAGACUAAAAGCCUCGGUCUUGGGUACCGGUUGCAUAACGCAUUACUAAAGGAGGCAAAAGAGAAAUGUAACAAAAAAAAUAUUUUGAAUUCCAAGAAUGUUUCACUAUUCAAGAUGACUAGCUGAGAGUCAACAGACAAGAUACUAGGAAUGUGGGUGCUUGAAUGCAUUUGUACAGAGGUCAUACUAUUUACAAACUCUUCUAUGUUUCCAUAUGACUACCUACUUCAAUGUCACGCGAGCCAUUCAGCUGGACACAUGGCACACUAGCUUGCAUGUCGAAUCCAUGAUUAAUUAUUUGCACUUGUGAUCUCUUACCAGUAUUUGUCCAGACUAGAAACGUGCAACACAUUUUUAGGAUAUGGACACGCAUAUAUUUGGACUAGUAUACAGGUCACCUUUGGAUGCGUACAAGGAUGACCGGGAGGGACUAAUGGAUACAAGGAAGGGACCAUCAGGAUUAAUAUUGACAUAUGCCACAUGACAAUCUUCAUUGUCAUGCAAUCCCUAUCAACAAUCAUGGAAUCCCUAGUGUACUAAUCCCUGGAGGGUUGUGUGGAAAUUUAUUUUACCUUGCGGUGAAAAUCUCAUGAGCAGUCAUUAGUUAAGCUGACUAGCUGAGAUAUAAUAGACAAGCUAGUAAGAUUGGGAGCAUCAAUGCAUCCAUACAGGGUCACAAUAUCCUUUCCAUUCACUUUUAUAUAUAACCCUACGAAUACAAGUCCAACGAAAUGCGGGCCUUUCGAUCAAGAUAAAUUAAAUGGCCCACUUGUAUUUCUAAUCCAGGAUUAACUAUGCCCUCUGUUCAUCUCUUGCAAGCACGUGCAACACAUUUUCACGAUAUGGACAUGCAUGGAGGUUAUUAUACUGUUUGGACAAACUCUGAUGUGCCAUGACCUAAAUGCUUAGGGCCUGUUUGGUUUGAGUUGCUUAUUAUAAGCAACUUAAAGUUGCUUAAAGUUGCUUAUUUGAAGUUGCUUAUUUUUAGUCUAAACUGUUUGGAUACCCUUGCUUAUGAGCAUUGAAUGAGUUGGACAUUGUCAAAUUUGCCCCAUGUGUUGCUACCCCUCCAAUUUGCCUCCCCACCCUUCUUCUUCCUGCACACGUCCGAUCCCGGGGGCCGACGGCGGGCAGGGAGCAGCAGCAGCUGGCCAGGGCGGCGGUGGGGCGGGAGCGGCGGCGCACACCAGCACGCGCUCGCACGCCAGGUGCUAGGGCGCGGCGAGGCAGUCGUCGUAGCCCACCGGGAGCGGGUGCUCGGGCGCGAGGCGGUACUCGACGGAGAUGCCGAGCGUCGGGCGCGCGGCGGCGAGCGCGUUGAGGAAGCGAUGGUAGUGCGGCGACGUCGCGGACUCCGCCACGAAGCCGCCGCCGUGGACGUACACCACCACGGGCAGCUUCGUCUUGCCGUCGGCGGCCGCGGCCGCGGCCUGGGGUGGCAGGUAGAGGCGGACGGAGCAGGAGCCGAGGUCGACGUCCCUGGAGUCGACGCCCGUGGCGGCGUCCAGGCUAGGCCCGACCGGCGGCGGCACGAGCGGGCGCUCGAUGCGGCCGCUCUUGUAAAUCCGACGGGUCUGUGCGGAGGCGGGCGGCGGGCGGGAGCGGCGGGUGGGAGCGGCGGCAGGUGGUGCGGAGGCCGGCGGCGGCGGGUGGCGCGGAGGAAGGGGAGCUGGUGAGUGGUGACAGGGGAGGGGGGGAGAGAGAGGGGGGGGUAGGGUGCAUUGAAUGAGGGCAGGAGGUGUAAAGUGCACCUUUUAGUCCCCAUGAGCAACCAUAAGCAGCCCAAGAGUUGCUUAUUUGCUUAUAAUAAGCAACCUCAUAAGCAAGAGUGAUUGGUUUCAUAAGCAACUUAUUUGCUUAUUUUAAGUUGCUUAUGCAUAAGCAUGUGAAACCAAGCAGGUCCUUAACCUAUGGUUGUGGCACCACACAGUACAUAGUAUUUAAUAAUGCUAUUCGUUUGGUAUGUGCACAAGGGCACGCAUGAAAUGUCUGGCCCACGGUAAACAAGUACGGACGCUGCAAAUAAUCUACUCUGCUCGUCCAGUCCCUAGCCUAUAAAUAGAUGCCAUGCUAGCUCUUGUUGUGCUCACAAUUAAUCCUGACUACACACGAGCUUCUCUCCCUGGCCAAGACACAAUCAUAGUAUGAUGAAGAACAUGGCACUAGCCGGCAAUGGUAUGAAGAACUUAAUCCUCGCUGUUCUCUUACUGUGUCUAGUUAUAGGGCAGAUACAAGUGGAAGCUAAGAGCUGCUGCCCAUCCAUUACUGCAAGAAAUAUCUACAAUGCCUGCCGUAUCACGGGUACAUCCCGUCCAACGUGUGCAAAACUGUCAGGCUGCAAAAUUAUCAGCGGGGACAAAUGCAAGCCCCCUAACGACCACCUCACCCUUGACCCGGACACUGGUAAAUAAUAAAUUUAUCUCACUUGAUUUCUUCGUGUUUUGAGUCGUUAAUGUAUUUUCCAUCUGAUGAAACGUAUUGGUUUUGCAUUGAAGAGGAAGUUAAUGUGCUUAACUUCUGCAAGUUGGGGUGUGCGUCGUCUGUGUGCAACAACAUCAACGCUGGUAAGCACCUUUUGCUCAGACGGAGAAAACAAUAAUCAUUAAUUAGCGGCAGCUAGAAUCCUAUAAUCUAAUAUAUUUAUAUAUAUAUAUAAUUUUAUCAGCUCUGGGAAAUGAAGAGGCGAACGAUGCCGUUGAGAGUUGCGACCAAGCCUGCUCUAGCUUCUGCAACGUGCACGUUGGCGCUGCCACCGUGGUUGCUUAAGCAAAUGCAUCCAACUGGAUCGUCCUUGUGCUAAAUAAUUGGAUAUCGUAUCCACUUAAAGCUGCCUUGUGUAGUACGUUUUUGUUUGUGUCUCUCUUUAUAUUCCAAUAAGGUCGGUGAUCUUGAUGCCACACACUCAGACGUGUGUUCAUCUCCAGAUACUACUCCAUGCUACCUGCCCUUUGUGUUUUGUUCAAUAACUGGGUAUCAUAUCCCAGCCAGUGUGCCAUCUGUUUUGUGUUUAUUUCCUUCUAGUUUCAAAGGGGUUAUCAUGAUGUUAC
rnacentral:lncRNA from 1 species